UUCAAAGAAACCUUCAUGGCACAUGCAGCUGUUUAAUUUCAUCACACACUUAUGGGUUGUUUGGUUCACAAACUAAAUAACAUCCUAAGUUUGAUGGUAUAAAAUGGGAUAUUUCAUGAUUAUAUUUAUGAUAAAAUUUAUAUUGCAUCUGAUUGACGGUAUAAAUCUACACCAUUAAUUAAAUUAAGUAUUAAUUUUAUCUCAUCGUGUGAUAUCACCUUAUCUCGCAUACCAGACGAGUCCUUAGUACUUCUUUCUUGACUCCACCAAACAAUCCUUCCACUAUAUAAAUAUUUCCUCAUUUUAGCUUCACUAUCACAUCUCUACAAUCAAUAACUUCUCUCAUAAUUUUCUCCACUCCCUUAGAGAAAAAUUAGUCAUGAUUAGUCUAUUGAGUAAACAACAACAUGCUUACUCAAAGAUGGAAAUUGAUGACCCUGAAGAGAUGCAACAUAGGAAAGCACAAUUCUUGAUUUACAAGGCAUUAAAGAAAUCAGAUUCUGUUAGAAAGCAACCAUGGCUAAAAGUGAGAGUUUGUAAGUUGAAGAUCAAGAUUGGAAGGAGAUUGAAGAGAUUUAGAAAGAGCAUAUUGUUGACAUUCUCUGUUACUAGAGUUGGAGUUUACAAGCAAUUUAUGUCACAAUUGAAAUCUUGGAAAGGUUUGCUUAAGGGUAGAGAGAAUAUGGUUAGUACUACUCUUCCACCAAUGUUCACUUGAAGUUUUUGUUCUUAAACAAGUUGAGGUCGACUGUAUGAAUCUCAAUAUCCAUGACACUCCCAAAUGAAUGAGAAAAGAAACAAAAAGGGAGAAGACAACUUUUUUUUUUUUUUACUUUUGAUUUUUUGGCUUGUGUUUGUUCACGAGAGAAUGGUGGUGAAACGUGAUUAAUUCACAUAUACAAAUACAUGAUUCGCCCUUUAUGAAACUAUAAAGUUUGAUUACAAUCCAUUUUCCUCAUAUGUUCUUUUGGAAAUUUACUUCCAUUAGUUUACUCCGUUCCGUUGAUUUAAGUUGGAAUUGAAGUUUAAUACGUCAAACUAGUUCAUCCCUUCAUUCCUCAUUUUGAUGGGGAAAAAUGGUGAAGAGCAAUAAUUUCAUCGUAUCAAACUCAAAGGCGAAGUUAUAAUUUAAAAUUUAUGAGCUCUGCAUCAAUCAUUGUUGUUAUUGGGUUCGCAAGGAAAUAUUUAUAUAUUAUCUUUAAUGAAUGUCUUAACAUAAAUUUUGUCCAAACUUGUACCUAAUACUUUAGCUCCACUCCUGGUCAUCCCAAGAAAAAGAAACAGCAUCAACAGUGGUCUAUUUCUUUUCUUACCCCAUCAAUGGGUUGCCCAGUUCAAUUUUUAGGGUCUUCUAAUUUGAUUUCUUUAAUUAGGUAAAUAAAUUUUGGGCUCAUGUUGAACUUUUCAUUGUAAGAAACAAGUAUAUAUUAAUGGGAAUUUAUAGGUUGUUGGUGCCUAUUAUUUGUUAAAUCGUACCAUAGCUUUUGCCCUUUUUUCGUUUCAUGGUUAUUGUUGUACUUGGGAACAUGGACCAAUUGGUAAAUUGGCUUUUCUUCUUUUAAUCAAUCCCACUAUAUCAGUACCAUUAAACCAUAUAAAACUAGUAAAUAUACUAAAUUGUUUAGUCUAGUAUGCAAUUACUUGGUCAGAUUUUAUUCUUAGAUUCAUCAUAUGGAAAAUCUUAGGAUUUUCCAUGAAAUGAUAAAUUCUAGUUAAUUUAUGUGCAUAUUCUAUCCGCUUGUAAUAACAAUUAUUAAUAACAUUCUCGGUGUAUUUUAUAAGUGAAGAUAAUAGAGCACUAAGUAAACUUUACUCUUACUUUGGUGACACAGCGUCAGAAAAGAAUAUGAUAAAAUUUUCUAACUAUUUGGUGCCGUGAGGUUUUGCCAAUUAGUCUAAUAUUGACUUUGUUUGAAUAGCUAUAGCUAGUAUGGCUAAAAGAGAAGGCAAGAACAUGGCAUCCAUGAUUAGUUCCAACUUGUGAAAACACAUGUACCUAUGUUGGCUUUCGCUAUUCUCCAAAGCUAGUUUCCCUACUACUACUAUUAUUUAUUUUAUCCUCAGACCACAUUUGGCCUUCAGAUGAAAUGAAGGGAGAAAACAGAGGGAAAAAGCUUGACAUUUUGACUAAUAUAAUGAUCCACGUUUGUAACGAAAAAAUGAAAAAUGUAGCAUGCUAAACAUCGUGUAUUGUAAUAGAAAUAGAAGCAAAAGUAUUAGCAAAUGUUGAGCAUGUUUUUCUUCUCUAGAAUUAACAGUGGUAGCAUUCCACAAAACGUACAAUAAGCAAUGCGUAGAGUUGGGAAGAAUUCUAGCAUGUUCAUCCAAAUUUAUGGAAAAGAGCUUUUUUAGAAAGUGCUAAAAAAAUUGAAAAGUUUAAUUGUUUGGUCAAGAUUUUAGAGAAAAAUUAAACAUUUUUGAUUAAUAGUAGAAGUUAUUUUGUAAAAUCUGAAAAAAUAAUAUCAUAUACGUAAAACUUAUCCAACUUAUCUUGUGUUGAUCCAAACAUAUGAUUUAAAUUGUGCCCCUUCCUUUAUUGGUUCAAUGAAUCAAGGUAUAAUAUAUAAGCAUGUUAUUUAACUUAGCUUUAUAUGACAUCUAUGUCUUCAACUUUGGGCGUGCAUAAACGUACAAUUAAACUUGUAUAAAGUUAAACAAGUAAACUCACACAUCCUUCAUGACAAUCCGUGUGAGAUUACCCCUUAUAGUUUGUUUACUAAAGUAAUCUUUAUAUUAUAAUAUCAGUAUAACCUGUUCAGCGAUCCAACGACCCUUAUAAACCAAAUGAACCUUAGUUGAUCACUUAGUUUAAUUAGUUCAAUGGGUGUCGCAAAAUAAACCUUAGUUGAUCACUUAGCCUAACAAUGAUGGUGGUGGGGGUAUCCUGUGUGGGAGAUGACUUUUAACUCACCUCUUUCGUUUGCAUAAUUAGAUGAACAACGUGGGCAUCCAUGAAGAGUUGAUAGAUCAACUUCCACAGUUCACACUAGCAGUAGCCAGUAGGACACAAAGCUGCUAGGCCAACAAUUUUUCCACCUAUGUUUUUGCCCAUUCAUCACUGUUCCCUUCCAACACAUGUGGGGCUGGGACUUUAUUUUUGCCCUACUGGGUACAACCGUACACAUUCUCAUUAUUCAACCACACCCUUGCCCAUUUAUUACUAGUACCACUAGUACUAUAUAUCCAACCCCAUUAAUACUCUCUUUACUUAUUCCAUCAUAUAUAUUUAUAUAUAUAUAUAUAUAUGAAAUAACCUAUGUUAUUACUAUAAUAUAAAUAGUGGAAUGAAUAAUUUUGGGACUAAGUUGUAUGCAUUUUAUUCAAAAAUUAUUAUACAUUAUUUAUACCUCACGCCAAAAGACCCUAAAAUUAAAGUUCUGCACACCCUAUCCCAAGACUAUCCAGAAUUCAUGUUCCAAAAUCCUGCAUCAUGUGCAAAUAUAAAUGACAAGAAGAUGAAUUAAACCAACUUUUUCUCCCCUUAACUAAAAUCAUGUGCCACAUGGGUUUAGGUGGUUUUAAUAUUAACAUUGAAACUGACACCGAAUUUCUAAUAAAUUUUACAUAUUCUCUCUUAGUUUAGUGAAUUAUUGCAGUCUUACUCAGAGGAAAUCUCGUCUCGAAAUUAUUUAAUUUGUUUCCCCUUUUUUGAACACGGUUAGUAACUGUGUUUAUAAACAUAAAAUCAGGAAAGCAGAGACGUCAAUUUAAUAAAAGCAUAAAGAAAUAAAAAGUUAUUCUGAGUCCACAAUUUUUUUUUUAUGUGUUCUUAAGAAAUUUAAUUCUCGCACAGUUGCUCACGAUAUACGGAUUAAUUCCUUCUAGGAUAAAACAAUUAUUUUGUAAUAUCGACACUUCAAUAAACUCCAAUGACGGAGCAAAUUACACGAUUCUACGACUUUUGUUUAAAAAGCAAAUGCAAAUAACGAUUUAGAGGGGAGAAAUAAUUCAGUCAGUCCAAAAUAUAUCUUAUUGUAUUUUCCAUUCACAUCUUAAAAUCCCAACAAAUUAAUCAGAUCAACUUCAAAAACUUUUCGGAUCAAGUCGGAUUAAGUAACUAUCAUAACCCAAUCAAUUUAACUCGAAAUUACUUUUGGACUGCUCACACCAUCAUUUAAAAUUUAUACACCUUCUAGGAUAAUGAGGUCGACAUUUACAUAUAGUACUAUUGUAUACUAUGUAUAUGUAGGAUCAAAGCCUAUGUAUGCUCCACCGAGCUGACUACUUUCUAUUUCUGGCCCCAUAAUUUUCAUUGGGCCUCAUCGAUUCGUAAUCCAUAAAUCUUUAGCUGGGCUUUAGCUUUUCCAUUAUAUUAUAUUUUGAAUAAAUUACUUAUAACAACAUCUUAAGUUUCUAUUAUUACUUAAAAUUCCAUCCAACUAAACUAAUUACAAAAAUCCUUUUUUACUCAAAAUAGUUGCCUCUUUUCUGAUACAUCUAAAAAAACACCUACAUCCCCUUAUUGUGCCGCAAAUCAAGCCCAAAAAUCAGGAAAUAUAUCCCACAAUUUUCUUAACUCACCCGUUUUGAAUUUCCACCAUGUUCUUAUCUUCAUUUUCUACUUCAACAUUCGAUUUUCUUAACUCACCCGUUUUGAAUUUUCACCAUAUUCUCAUCUUCAUUUUCUACUUCAACAUUCAAUUUACAACUUCCAUUAACUUUCUUUUGAAUUUUCACCAUGUUCUCACCUACUACUCAAUUAGAUUUAACAACUCCAUCUUUCCAUCAUUAACUUUCUUUUUUAAUUUCCACCAUUUCAUUAUGAUAUGAACGACAUUGAUUUUCAUGAAAAUAGAUUGAAAUAUCAAAACUUUCUGGACAAAAUGGCUAUGAUGUUUAAGCAAAACUUUUGAUUGUUUUUAUUACAAUUUCUAUAAAUUAAUUUUCGUCCAUAUGUUAGACUAUUAUGCAUCAAAAGAUAUUUUACUCUUCAGCAAUGUAUCAUAUAAGCUAAUUGUAGUUUUAUAUCUUAAUGUAAAUUAUAUAAUGCAUCAAAUAUUUUCAAAAAAAAAAAAGUCAAGUAUAAUGCAAACUUAAUUACAGUGAUGUAUCUCAACCAAAAUAAUUUAAUGUGUCAGAAACUUAAAUUAACAAUACAAUAGUAGAUAUAAUACUGUUGUAUUUGCAUAUAAAGUAAUGUAUCAUAAGAUAUUUAGGUUUUAAUACAAUGUAUCAGAUAAUUUUUACACAUAUAAAGUAUUUAGCAAAAAAUAUAAUAAUGUAUUAGUAACCACAAAUAAAUAUAAUGUGUCAUGAAUAGUAGUGUAUCAUGAACUCAAUGUUAUUAAAUGAGCUAUUUGUUAUCAUCAUACAAUAUAUCAAGUUUUUACAUAAUAGGAAAAUUCAUGAUAUUUGUUAUCAUAAGUUAUUAAAUGACGUAUAUUAGGUAAUUUAAACAACAAUUUCUUUACUUGAGCGCAUUAAUUGCUCAACUAUAGGCUUAAUUAUCGUUUCUUUCUGUUUUUAAUCAUAAUUAAAGAUUUAUUAAUGUAUCAUAAACUAAUGUAUCAUGACGUUAACUAAUGUAUCAUAUCUGAAAUUUUAUGUAAUUAUUAUAAAAAUAGUGAGAGAGGGUAAUUAGAUAGUAGAGUAUUGGGAUUUAUGUUGUUUACCCUAUUAUUUUUCCUUGCUCCUUAAGUCUCCUUUUCAUGUUCACUACUUAUUUCUAACCUCUGCGUGGGAUCUUUUUUUUUUUUUUUGCCCCCUUAGUCACUCAAACUCACGACCUUAUAAUUGAAAGUCGGAGGUGGUUACCAUCCUAAUUAAAGAGGUAGGCCAAAGAAAUAUUGAAGAGAGGUGAUUAGACAUGACAUGAAGCAGUUACAGCUUAUUGAGGACAUGAUCUUAGAUAGAAGGGUAUGGACGAAUGAAUUAGGUUAGAGGGCUAGUUCGUGGGAGUUAGUCUAGCUAGUAGAUAAGAUUGCUUUGGUGUAGCCAUGCUAAUAGUCCUAGGGCUAUGUCUGUAGGUUGGAGUUUUUUGUUCGAAGGUUUUGGGUGAGAUGCGUGUUUUCGAUUAGAUAGUGUAUAGUACUACUCUGCGAGAGUCUUAUUUCUGUUAUUUCAUCUUAUUUUAUGUUUUAUUACAUCAUUAUAUUGUUUGUUGUCUUUUUGUUCCGAGUCAGGAGAUUUUCGAAAACAAUCUCUAUAUUCCUUCAAAGGUAAUAAUAUAGACUACAUAUAUUUUAUUCUUUUAAGAUUUCACUGUGUAAAAAUAUAUUAGAUAUGUUGUUGUAGUACUUCUCUGCGUCAACAAAUUGCAAAAUGAGCAAUCAUAUAUUUUUGGCCAAACCCAUCGAUAGGACCUCAAACUUAUCCCGAAAAUUCACUUAGACCCCUAAACUAAGACUUGUACCUAUCAGGCACCUCAAGUGUUAAAAUUGAUAUCUAUCAGACACAAGAUAUUGAUUUGGCAAGGAGAGUGUAACACACUCUUCUUGGGCGCGUGAAUAGUAGAAAAAAAUAAUAUUUUACUUGUUUUAAAAUUAAAAAAAUUAUAUUUUAAUUAUUUUAUUAAUAUAAGUUUUAAUUAUUAUAAUUUCUUAAUUAAAAAAGAAAAAAGAAAAGAACCCCCCACACCCCCCUUCAUUGUCGUCCUCACCCCACUCUUCCCGUCUUUGUCAUCUUCCUCACCCCCACCUUUCCCGUCAUCAUCGUCGUCCUCAUCUUACCCCCUGCUCAUCAUCGUCCUCACCCUACCCCCAAGUUCAUCGCCAAUCCCCACACUUUCUGUCAUCAUCGUCGUCCUCACCUUACCCCCUGCUCAUCAUCUUCCUCACCCUACCCCAGAGUUCAUCACUAAUCCCCACACUUUUCGUCAUCAUCAUCUUCCCAACAAAAGCAAAUGAUAACAUUAUUCUCCAAAAUCAGAAUCCAAAAACAGUUUUCGAAUUUAGAAAUGUAGAAAUUAAAAGGCGCUUGUCAUCUCCAUUUUCGAUCACAGCCGAGCAAACAUCACUACUCAAAAUAAAAUAUAAACCCACAAAACUUAUUAAAAAUUAUAUCAAAAAAUUCAAUACUCAAUAGAAUUAAUUUGUGUCCUCUCAAUCUUUCUUUCUUGUCAUCUUCUUCGUCUGCUAAACUCAUAACAAAGCUAAAAAAAAAUCAAAAGAAGUCAUUGAAGGACAAGCUCAACAACAUGGAAAGGACGUGGACCACUACCAGCACCAUUGCUUAAUUUUGCUGAAUGAAAACAAAUUAAACCAAUUAAAUCAACCAACAAAAAUGAAAAAAAAAAGAUGAAAAAAGAAAUACCUUUGCUGAUGGUAGUGAGAAAAAUGAAGAAGAAAAGGGAGAGGUAGGUUGGGGGAGGAAGAGGGUGGGUAGGGAUUUGCCUUUUAAUUUUUUUUUUUUUUGAAUUAUUAAGAAUUGAAAAUAAAUUUUAUUUUUAAAUUCGAAAACUCAUUUUUAUAGUUAGAUUUGGGCCCAUUUGCCACAUGUUAUCAUUUUAUUAGUUAUUUUUUGCCACGUCAGGCGAGUGUAUUACACACACUCUAUGCCUGUUGCUGAUUAGGCAAAAAAUGUUCAAUUGAAAUAAAAUUUGGGGUUUAGAAGUCUGAUAGGUACAAGCCUUAUUUUAGAGGUUUAAGUGAAUUUUUGGAAUAACUUUGAGGGACUAUCGAUGAAUUUGUCAUAUAUUUUUCUAUGCAUGAAUUGCUUUUUCUGCAUAUUUAAUGUAGGAGGGAAAGUUCACUCAAAUGGUAGGGACCAAUAGACCAUCAUUUUAGCUUUGUAAAUGCGCAAUAGGAUGUGAAUUUUAGCAAAAUAUAUUUUAUUAAUCUUUGAUCACGAUAUCGAUUUUUGAGCAUUCAGAAUAUGGUUAAUUCACCUUUGGAUGAUUCUUUUUAAGCAUUCGAGCACUCUCUUAAUAGGAUCAUGAUAUUGAAAUAGCUUACAUGAUGCAAGCUUAGAUGAUGCUUAUUAUAAGACUGACUUUCACAAUAACAAGGCUUAAAUUUAAUUAUAUUCCAUAAUUUAAAUGUAAAAGAUCAGGUAACUUAUCAUUUUAAAUAAUGUUUUACUUAUAUUUACUAUAGACAAACAAAAUUAGACCUCCUCUAAUAAUUUGUUGAUUAGCACAUUCGAUAUAAUAUUAAAAUUUAUUUUUACUAAAUAAAAAUUAGACAAAAAGUAAUACAAGAUAUUUCACACAAUUUUAGAGGAAACAUUUUGCACAGUAGUCAUAUUUUUUUGACUUGUUAGUUUUUCAUUUUCACCUUGAACUUUCCCCUUAAAAAAGGGGGAAAAUGAAUGGAGAAAAAAGAUGGAUAAUAAAUUAAAAUAAAGGAUCAAAGACAAAGGAAGGGAGAAUAAUUAAUACAUCAACACUUCCUAACUCAAAUCAAAUCAAAUAAAAGGUUGAUAUACAUUGCCUCUUUUUCCCAAAGUUAUUGCCGAAAAUAAUACUUAAAAUAAAAUGUGAGAGUGAAAAGCGCAAUGUGUAACAAGGAAUAAAGGGAAUAUAUUUUCAAAAUUCCGCUUUCUUUCAUUCUGACAAACAAUUCGGAGACUUUCGCUUUUCCCUUUGUUCAUCCAUAGACGACCAUCAGCUUCUCCAUUGUUAGGGUUUCCUCCCUUUCUCUCGAAUCAGGUACCUUCAUUUCCUCUGUUGUUACGUAGUCUUUAUUGACAUCCUUUUAAUUGGUUGGUCGAUUGAUUUUCAGUUUCAAAUGCUUCGUUUAUUGAUGGAAUCGAUGUAAUUUUGGUGAACUCACGUUGAAUUUUGGUCAUUGUGAUUCCUUUUCCAGGUUUGAUUGGUUUAUUUUGGAAAAUUGUGUUGUGGUUGGAAUUUUGGAAGGUUAUAUAGCUGGAAAUGAGUGUAGUUGGGUUUGAUGUUGGAAAUGAGAAUUGUGUUAUAGGAGUUGCAAAGCAACGUGGAAUUGAUGUGAUAUUAAACGAAGAAUCGAAUCGAGAGACACCGGCUGUGGUGUCUUUUGGUGAGAAACAAAGGUUCAUUGGCACGGCUGGAGCUGCGUCGGCUACUAUGAACCCGAAAUCAACUAUCUCACAGGUUAAGAGGUUGAUUGGUAGGAAAUAUAGGGAACCUGCUGUGCAGAAGGAUUUGAAAUUGCUUCCGUUUGCGACCUCUGAGGGACCGGAUGGUGGCAUUUUGAUUAAUUUGAAGUAUAUGGAUGAGAAGCAGAGUCUCACUCCUGUUCAAAUUAUGGCGAUGUUAUUUGCACAUUUGAAGCAAAUUGCCGAGAAGAGUCUUGAGACGGAUGUUUCGGAUUGUGUUAUUGGCAUACCUUCGUACUUCACAGAUUUACAGAGACGUGCUUAUUUGUAUGCAGCGGAAAUUGCUGGGUUGAAGCCAUUGAGAUUGAUGCAUGACGGCACUGCAACUGCAUUGGGUUAUGGUAUAUACAAGACCGAUUUUUCAGCUGGGGGUCCAACAAAUGUCGUGUUUGUUGAUGUUGGUCAUUGUGACACACAAGUUGUUGUAGCAUCUUUUGAACCUGGCCAUAUGAAGAUAUUGUCUCAUGCUUUUGAUAGUGAUUUGGGCGGGAGAGACUUUGAUGAAGUUUUAUUCAGAUAUUUUGCUGCAAAUUUCAAGGAACAGUACAAUAUUGAUGUUAAUUCAAAUGCUCGGGCUUCUAUAAGAUUGAGGGCUGCGUGCGAGAAACUGAAGAAAGUUUUAAGUGCAAAUCCAGAGGCUCCGCUUAAUAUCGAGUGCUUGAUGGAUGAGAAAGAUGUAAAAGGUUUCAUCAAAAGAGAGGACUUUGAGAAGCUUUCUUCAGAUUUGUUGGAGAAGAUAAGCAUUCCUUGUCGUAAAGCUUUGCUAGAUUCUGGUUUGACUGCUGACAGGAUUCAUACUCUUGAGCUUGUAGGGUCAGGCUCUCGAAUUCCAGCUAUGGGAAGAAUUUUAAAUUCUGUUUUCAGAAAAGAACCGGGGCGGACAAUAAAUGCUAGUGAGUGUGUUGCACGUGGAUGUGCUCUUCAAUGUGCAAUGCUUAGCCCUAUAUUUCGUGUCAGAGAGUACGAGGUUUGUGACGUAAACUAAUAUAGUAAUACUUGUGAUCAAGAUGGCUGUGAAUUCCUUACCGUUUUGUUACUUAUGAGAACCAUAGGUGUUAAUAAUUGAUAAAUCAGAGUGCAAUAUUCAUCGAGCAUUCUAGACAAGAUUAAAUUGCAGGAAAUGAGGCCAUGACAUAGCCCAUCUUUUGACUCAGUCAUUCUAAGCUGGAUCCAGGCAGGGAGAUCACAGAAGGCUUUGAGAAGGACAAUAUGAAUAGCUAGAUCAACCAUAUGGGUGAAACCAAUUGACAUUGAAUUAAUAGACUACACUCUUUAUUAUGUGAAAUAAUCCAAUUAUGUGAGACAACCCUUUUACUUCACUACAAUCACUCUGUUGCUACUUUAGUAUUUCAUUCUUUCUUGUAAUAAACUGGAAGUAUAUUUGAAAGAGCUAAAAGGAAUUUUUGGGUAUGUACUAAAACGAGAAAGAUCUAUCUUCACAAGGUGGGGGUAGGGCUGCGUACACACCACCCUCCCCAGACCUCACUUGUGCUAUUACACUGGUUAUGUUGUUAUUGUUAUACUAAAACGAGGAAGAAUUAUUGUGCAUUGGGAUAGCUUAGUACAUCUAUGUCAUACUUAUGCCUUUUACUGCUUAAGAGUUGUCAUGCAUAGGUAUCCAAAGCCUUAAAUUCAUCUCACAAUCAAUAUCUUGAAAAGCAAUAAUACAAAACAUUGUCCAGAGGAUAGUUGGAAUAGAACAUAAGUGCACCAAGUCCUAACUUUGGCAUGAACAUUAUUGGUUUCAUCUGUGUUUUGAGUUUGGAAAUCUUCCAUUUGCAGAUUCAGGAUUCAUUUCCUUUCUCCAUUGGGUUUGCAUCUGAUGAGGGCCCAGUUUGCACCCUAUCAAAUGGCAUAUUGUUUCCGAAGGGCCACAGUUUUCCCAGCAUGAAAGUGCUAACAUUGCAAAGGAGCAGCAGUUUCCACUUGGAAGCAUUCUACACUGACAAGAAUGAGUUGCCACCUGGUGUAUCCGAUAAAAUAAGCAAAUCUACGGUACAGUUUACUUUGUCCCUUUUAGCUAAUAGGAGAAGUUCUAUCUUCAAGCUUUGUUCGGGGAGAUCUAGAGUAUCAUAUCACAUUUGAUCUAAUUUUCUUGAUUAUGUUAGGGAUGAUUCGCUAUAGUUGGAUUACUCUAAUCUAGAUUGUAGCUAAUGUUCUAGUUGCCAAGGUUACAACUUAAAGAUCUCUAAGCUUCUAAGUUUGCCGAAGCUCAUGGAACUGUCUUUGAGAACUUACGUACAGCUGUCCGUUGUAUCAUUUGUUACAUACUUGUUCUUCUAACCUGAUUAGUUUUUCAUUUUCCUUUUUGGUUUGUUUCCAAUGAUGCAUCCCUCGAAAGAGAAGUUUUCUCUUGAUGGAUAUCUCAAUACAUCUGUAUAUCAUAUUUUUGAAAAGGUAAAUCAAAAGAAAAGUAAAAUUAAAUAAGUCAACUAUGUCUACAGGGAGUGUUACAUAUUGUACUAGUUCAUUGUAUGUUAAAAUAACUACAUGCACUACUCAGUAGCUUUGCAUAUUUUAUGUUGCGAAAUCUUGUUGAUCUUCUCUAUUGAAUGAUCCUGCUUAAAAUGUGUCCUCCCUGAACCAGUCACAGAAGCAAUUUUGCCCUCCAAUGUACAACAACAACAAAUGCUCAGUGUAAUCCCAUGAGUGGGGUCUGGGGAGGGUAGGGUAUAUGCAGACCUUAUCCCUACAUUGGAAGGUAGAGAUGCUGUUUUCUAUAGACUUUUGCCCUCCAAUGUCUGCCUUAGAAAUAAGACAGGAGAUUGAACUUGAUCUCUCUGCUAAAUUUGGACACGCUAGGGCAUAAAGCUGGGCCACACGUGUUCAUAGCUGAUGUACAUCAGUCAUCACUCAUCAGCCAAUUUUGAGAUUCAAGAUUCUCAAAACUAGACAUUGCUGGUGAGCCACUACGUAAACCUCUGAUCCUUCAGUCUUUCACAUUGAAGCUGAGCUACAGAGUCAACUAUAAUUUGCAGGGUUUCAAUUUCUCCAAUUUACUUGAAACUAACUUUUAUAUCCACUGUAAUUAUGUAAAUUAGUAUCAUGCAUGAGAGGAUAAAGAUAAAAGGGAUGUCAUUGGUAUGAAGGAAAUGGAAAUUUGAUAAACUGUACGGUGACAGAAUGUCUGCAGCUGUGAUGAUUUAUCAUUAAACGACAAAGAAUUAUUUUUUGAUAUUUUGGAGAAUUAAGUUUUGCUAUUAAAUUCACUUCUCUAAUAGGUAGAAUAGUAUAUAGUCGCUAAAUACCAGAAAUAUAUAUCAUGAUUUAUCCUACUAGAAGUAUGUGUACAUCUGUCCAAGAAUUAUUUUAUAUCCCAGAAAGAACAUAUUUAGGUGGUUUCUGUGACAUUAAAGAGAAGUGCAGGAAAUUGGAAAUCAUAAUUCUGGUGGAAUAUUAUGAUCGAUGUUUAAAUAAACAUGGUACUGAGGGACGAUGCCAAAAGAUAUAUUGCAACAACAAGAUACCCAGUAUAUUCCCACAAAGUGGGAUCUGGUGAAAAAUGAUAUAUUGAUGCAAUAAAUAAAUAAAUAAAUGAACUUGCGAAACACCCUUUUUAGUUGCCCUUAUUUACCCUUCCGAAGAUCAGUUGAUUUCUCUCGCUGUCACUUGGAUAGCUUCAACGUUUAGAAUAAGAGAAGGAAAGUGGCAUUCAGGGUCUAAAUCUUUUUUUUUUUUUCACAAGAUAAGGUCAUUUGGGUAUUUUUCUUUCGGGGAAAUUUCUGGACAUCUAACAGGCAGACUAAUUCGGUGGUCAUAUUGAUUUUUGUCAGUGUUACAAAAGAACUGGGAAGUUACAGUCAAUGUUUGUGAUGGUCUUUUAAGCAAAACAACAACAUACCCAUUGAAAUCCCGCAAACAACGUACCCAUUGAAAUCCCACCAAGUGGGGUCAGGGGAGGGUAAAGUGUGCUCAGAUCUUACCCCUACCUAGGUAGAGGUUGUUUUCGAUAAACCCUCUGCUCAAGGGAAAAAACAGUCCAAAGCAGUCAGAGAGAGAAUAACGGUAAUGAAGAACUCAUGGCAAAAUAAUAUACACACCCUGACAUAUUAUCUUAAGAAAAUGCUCUUGGGUGUAACUCAAUCCCAACAGGUAGCUCACAAGGCGAGAAUUUUUUUCUUCUUUUUGACUCUUAUGAGGUGAGGAUUGCCCAACGCCAUAUAGUGAGACAUCCUGUUCUCUCAGACAAUGUGGGAUACCUUAACAUCCCUUUGAAUGACUUGGACAUUUGGAGCGUGAACAACAUAAUAUAGGAGCCUAACACUGGAUAAACGAAGAAUAGAGAUGAGUCUACCAAGUUGAAUUGUGUGACCAUAUUGUUUAAAAGCUUACGUUGUUGGAGAAAACAUAUUUUAGUUACAUUUAUGUUAUUUUUUCAACAGUAUAAAGAACAAUAACAAAAGAAAGGAGACCGUAAUUGUUAUAAAGAUUUCAAAAUUUUCAAUUGGAUGAUAGGAAGAUGGCUUUCCCCUAGCCUAUUUCCCUGAAAUAUCACUAACAUGUUGCAUGUUAAAUAUUAUUCUCAUGUUGAAUAUGAUCACAUGACACCUUUUAGUUAGUUCUUUUUAUGCUGUCAUGCAUCUACUGGGAUUUAAUCUUAUGCUGUAGAAAGAGUUAUCUAAUAUCUGUGUCUUUUCAAAUCUCUCUGGCCGGCGAGUCUAUAAGCUGAGGAAAUUUGUAGCAUGAAGUUUAUUUCUUUCCUUGCUUAAGAAGGCAGGUUAUCUAGCUUCUGCUUCCUAGCUGAAUCUCAAUGUGCAACAGUUUGAGGAAAAUGCGUACCUGUAAAAUUAAUUUAGUUUGGGAAGUUCUAGUAACUAAAAUUGAUGCCAGAGAUAUGCCGUUGCUAAGUGUCUUUAAGAAUUUGAAAUUGAUGCUCUCAUCCUUAAUGUCAAGUUGACUCCAUCAGUUUGUCAGUUAAUCUCACACUGUACUUUUUUCUUUCGCCAGAUUGGCCCAUUCCAGGUUCCUCAUUUUGAAAAAGCAAAGAUCAAAGUCAAAAUUCAAUUAAACCUCCAUGGAAUUGUAACAGUAGAAUCGGCCUGGGUUAGUGCAAAUUUACAUAAUAUGGAAAUUAAUUACUGCAUUUUGUCAUCCCUUCAGCUGAUCAAACUUUCUUGAAGAUGUAACCUGAAGUUGUUGCUGCAUUUUGUACUCUCUUCAGCUGAUCAAAGAUCAAACAAGUCAUUCUACAUCGGAAAAUAAUGUUGAUACUUAUGCAGAAAAUAUGGAGGUAAGCACUCAUGAAGCGUCUGGUGUUACGCAUGGUACUGAUGAUAGUUACUCUGUGCAUUCUGUUGUAUGAUUAGUUAGAACUUAUAGUAUCUUCUGGUACUUUUUGUAAUCACUGCUUAAUUUGCAUCCUUUUUUUGGUGGUUCUGUUUGAACCACUGCGUUAAGAGGACUGGUAGUUUUCUUCUUGUGGUUUGUUGGACACUUGAAGUUAUUAGUCCCUUCUCUCUAAAAAGACAGAACCACUGUGUUAAGAGGACUGGUGGUUUUCUUCUUGUGGUUUGUUGGGCACUUGAAGUUAUUAGUCCCUUCUCUCUAAAAAGAAUGACUCAACUGUAUCGUGACUCAAGCAUUUCUUUCUUUUAUUACAAUUUUGUUAAACAUUUCAAAUCUUUUUAAUUAUAACGAUUGUGGAUUAUAAUACUUUUGAAGUACUUUUUAAAUAGAUAAUUUUAUUUAGAAGAGAUUUAUUUUGCAAAUUUGUCCCACGGAGAUGGUUGGUUGAGUUGUUAAGGAUAAGAGUAACAACCUGAAUCUUAUUCUAGAUUGGGAUUCAAGCUGUAACACUCAACAUCUGUUCUAGCCUGAGUGAGCACUGAGCAGGAUUACCCAAUUCUCAUGCUUGUAGGCUAUCAUAGGUUGUUUAGUGGUUUAGUCGAGGUUUGAAGCUGAUUUUGGCACCAUCGUCAUUUAAAUAGUAGCAUAUAAAAGAGGGACUCAUCACGUUCUUUGCUUUUCUGCCAAGCGAAGUAGUCCUCCCCUAGGACCUUAGCCUUGUGUGACUUCAAAUGGUCGACAACAGUCAGGACCAGGGCAAAAAUCCUCAAAGCUAAAAGCAUUAGGAGAGCUGAUCCCUAGCAUAAAUGCUCAAGCAGUUCUGAAAGCAGCCAGAGCUUUACAUGGUGAAAGCAACAAGUGGCUUGAUCAACUUCAAUCUAAUACCCGAGUUAACCAACAAGUGGCUCGAUCAACAAGUUUUAUUCAUUCUUUUAAUAGAACUUACAAAUUUGAGAUGUUGUAACGAGUGGCUGUUAUAGGGAGGUUUGACUAUACUUUUAUACUUGAAUUUGCUAAAAAUUUCUUUAGAUAAUUGGUAGAAAAUGCAUACAAGCCACAUGUGUCGUAGACCUAAAUAAAUAAAUAAAUAAAACAUCCCCUCUCUAAUUGGUUAAGCUUUUACAUGAGGCGGUUUGCAUAAUUCCACAUGCCAUUAGAGCAGGCUAAAAUCAUACAUUGGAGUCUCACCGCUACCUGUCAAGGAAAAUAUUUCCAUGUGCUUGCCUCACAUAAAAGAAUCAGAUCUGCAUGUGAGAUGGUGUGUUGUAGAACUGCAUGCUCACUGUUUCUCUUUCUCAUUGAUGUUGCAGUGUCGCCAUUACUUUAGUUUAGGGUAUUACUCUAGGUAAUUGAUUAUUUAUUUUCCUUGAAAAGAAGUAUACUUAUCUGAUGUCAGUUUAUUCGAUAAUUUGAUCAUAAUCUAGGACCCAACACUAGGACGUCAGCGAGUUGUUAUUCCAUUUAUGUGCUAUUCUUCUUUGGUUGGAAACCUUUUGGCUAUUUGAAAUGUGUACUUGGCUAUUUGUAAAUGAAACCGUGUGGUUUUUGCAGGGAGAUGAUACAAAGAGAAGUAAGGCCGUUAAGAGACAGGAUAUUCCUGUCAGUGAAAGCGUUGAUGGUGGAAUGACCCUCAUGGAGCUAUCCCAAGCUCAGGAAAAGGAAUGCCAGUUAGCUGAGCAAGACAUAAAGGUGGAGCGAACUAAAGAUAAGAAAAACACCCUGGAGGCAUACGUUUAUGAAACUCGUAAUAAGGUAUAAGAUCAAAUUUCAAGUCUCAUAAUUAUCUUGCUUGAAAGACAUCGAUUCAGCUGAUAUGUUUCACACUUUUAAGGUAAGAGUAUAACUUUAGAGGAUAUAACAUUUUCAUCUUUCAACUAUUAAGUAUCAAACUGAACCAGAAGGUUGAGGAGUGAUGAAUGCAUCACUGCUUAAUUUAGUUUCUUAUUAUCCUUUCCUUUACAAGUGGAAUUCUUUCAAGUUUUGGUGGCCCAUAAAAUUUGCAGUAUCACUUGCAUUUUUAGGCCAUCCUUCUGAGUAAGUUUGUUUGCAAAUACCACUAGGUGACACUCAUAACUUUUAAACACAUGUUGGAGUUGAUACGUACUACUUAUUUAUCACUAUUUGGUAUCUUGUCAUUUUGAUACGGAUUGUUUCAAAUACCCCAUUUGCUGAUUUUGGUUUUGGUUUAGUUAAAUGUUAUCAGUAUCUGGUCCAUUUCCUUUACUUUAUGCAUCUAUUUGAAAUUUUGAAUAGCUUUUGAAUUCCUAUCGGAGCUUUGCUACGGAUUCGGAGAGGGAGGGUAUCUCAUAUAAUCUACAACAGACUGAAGAAUGGCUCUAUGAAGAUGGAGAUGAUGAGUCUGAACAGGUGUAUGCGGAGAAGCUGGAGGAUCUUAAAAAGGUUUGUCAUUUGGUAUUAGUUGUAGAAUUUAUUUUUAAUUUUCCAAUGCCUAUAGACUGUUUGAAAGUGAUGCAACCAACCUAAUGUUAUUAGAUGGUGGACCCUGUGGAGCAUCGAUAUAAGGAAGAAGAGGCGCGGGCACAAGCAACUCGACAUCUAUUAAAUCGCAUUGUGGAACACCGGAUGGCUGCAGGAUCACUUCCAGCCAGUGAGAAAGACGCUGUAUGAUCUUAUCUAUAUAACAUGCUACAGGCCACAGAUCUUUGUGAUAUCGUGAUUAACCUGAAUUUUUUCUUUGCAGGUCAUUAAUGAAUGCCAUAAAGCAGAGCAGUGGCUUCGAGAGAAAUCCCAUCAGCAGGAGGCAUUGCCCAGAAAUGCUGAUCCAGUAUUAUGGUCUGGUGAAAUCAAGAGAAAGACCGAGGCUUUUGAAGCGUAUGUUCACCAUCUUCAAAACCUGCCUAAUUAACCUAUGAAUCUUGUUUUCCUCACACAGUUGUUAUACAUCUUGUGGUUGCAUGUUUUUGGUACUUCGUUCACUGACAGAAUUAGAUUUUCCACUGUCUACAAAACUAUACAAGAACAACCAAGUCUCAAUCCCUUUAACAUCCAUUUCGCUCCACUUUUGGACCUCUCUACAAAUAAUUAAUUGAUAUAAGAUUAAAAGAAUAUAUACUAGGCCCUCUUGCACUUGUCUGUGUUUGUAAAGUGAACGUCUCUACUUAGACUUUUGUCAUCUGAACCCCUGAACUCAUUGAAACAUAAUAUUUCAAACCCCAUUUUGGUGUGUAACACAAUUGCUGCCACGUCAGCUUCCACGUUAUUUUUAGAUAUUGUAUUAAAUUCUACGUCAUUUUUAAAAUACCACAUAAAAAAUUAAAUAUUAAAUAAAUUUAAAUUGAGAAAGUAAAUUAAAAAAAAAAUUCACUCUUUAAAUUUUUCAUUUUUAAUUCACCUUUUAAAAAAAAUUUCAUUUAAAAUUCACCUUUUAAUUUUUAUUUUUUUUCAUUUUUAAAACUGAAACACAGAAAACAGAGAGGAACCGCGAGAGAGAAAGACUUCCGGCGAGAACUCGCCAUAUCAAGAACCAGCCCCCCCUCUUUGUUUCAGUUGUCUUCGUUUUUCACUCUUUCUCCCGUCUCUCUGUGUCUUUUAUUCGCUUUCUAUGUGAUGUUUUCUACUACAUCAUACCCAGUGUAUCCCUACAAAGUGGUGGGAUCUGGGGAAAAUUAAAAAUAUAUUUAUGUUAGUACUAUAUAUUGAAAUUCUGAGCAGUUCAAGGUUUAAUAGAGUUAGGGAAUGCAUGUUAGAUGCGAGUGACAUUUGAAUUUAUCUGUAAUUUCGGUUUAGAAAAACACACAACCAAACCUGGUAGUAGUUUUACAGACAGAUUAUAAUCGUAGAUGUGUGUGUGUGUGUACUCCAUACUCUAUAUAUGUUAGUAUGUAUUUAGGCAUACCGCACAUAUAUACUUCCACUCUUUUCAGACUAAGAGAACAUAUUCAUCAUUUUGAACUGCCUACACUUAUGACAUACACGUAAAAGUGGCAUCGGUUCCCUGAAAGCAAAGCAACUGUAGUUUUACUCCUUAGAAUUGUUAGAAUUUACGACUGAUUGGUUCCUUAAUUAUGGUUAAGACCCAAUUAGAAGAUCCUAGCAAGUGCCUCUUGAGAAUUGAGAUAACUACAGCUUAUUGGUUUUGCUGCAUCUUGUGUUUUCGAGCAUCAACUUUUCUUUGCCUGAUGUGCACCAAUAUUGUGAAAUGAAUUUCAGGAUGUGUAAGCAUGUAAUGAGGCACAAGUCCUCACCCCAAAAGAGUGAGGAUGGCUCAGGUUCGGACUCAAGAAGUAAAAGGAGAGAUGACAUGGAUGUAGACUAAGUUGCAUCGAUGACAAGGAUGAGAGCAGGCGUGGCGAAUGAUGAGAUGAUUGUUUAUUGAGGCUGAGUAAACCUCACCAACUAGAGACUUAUUUUAUCUCCGGUACUUAAUCAAAUCACAACCUCUCUUUUGGGUAGACUCAUUUGUCUACGCAAAUUUUGUGUUCUUCAUGAUCUGUAUUCACUUCCCCAAGUCAUUGUGUCGUCUUGGUGGCCUCAAAAAUAUAAAUUGAUUAUGUGCAGAGUUUCUGCUGCUUUUGUAGUUUAUAACAGCUUAUAGGAGGCAACACAAAUGCUGGAAACAUUAUGUACUUAUACAUUAAGAAAAAACUAAAGAUUUUUCUUCUGUUUUGUUCUGAUUGUUCUCUGUUGUGAGUAAUUCAAUAGUCUGAGGGGUUGGUCUGGUUGCGGAUAAAGUUAGAGAGGAAUUGUAAUGCAACAAUUGUAAUACAUGGAUAAAGAUCUAUUUGAUUCUCUGGUGCAUAUGUUUCCAUAAUUUUUGGUGUAUUGCAUUAAAAUAUAUGAUAUAUAGUAAAAGUGUCACCAAUUUCACGUAAAAAUAUUUUUUUGUUGAACCCGGUAUAAAGUAACACUCGAAUUGCUCUAUAAGUUAUAUAGGUGUGUUAUAUCGGAGCAAAAUGUUAACCAAACGCAUGAUAAUAUAAUACCAAAGUUUAUAUUUGGUAUUAUAUAGGAAAUGCUUUUCUAAUUCCGGUAAGCAAAUGAACCCUUAGCAUAUGCAAUGAGGUUGCCUUUUUUAUUCUCUCUUAGACUCUCAUUUUCUCAUUUUUACUUUCCUGGUUAGACACUUACGAUAUCAAUUUGAUUGCGCGUUGUGGGCCUAAUUGCAGAAAUAAAGUUGUUAUCACCCUCUUUAUAACACAAUCAACUAAGAAACGUGCAGAUACAGGCGAUGGUUUUCUUACAGAUAAGUUGAUUGGAAGUAAACUGCAAAAAAAUUUUUUUUUUUUGUUCUUUGGAUUCAGCCAUCACUGUCUUCUUGAAUCGAAUACUUUGGACACCAACUAAGAUAGCAACAACAAUAUACCCCUGUGUAAUCCCACAAAGUGAGGUAUGAGGGGCUAGAGAGUGUCUGGUGAGGUAGAUAGGUUGUUUUCGUAAAGUAAGAUAGAAUACUAAUAAAUCAUACUAUCUGAAAUUAUUUUUAUCUGUUUUUUUUUAAAUUUAGAAAUAGUAACCUAUUCUAUUAUAGAUUUCGACUCUCUUUUGGUAGAUAACUUCUUUGCUCUUGCAGGUACUGCAAGGAUUAUUUGGAAUUCAUGUCUCUCUUUUCCUCUUCAUUCCUUGUUUAGAGAUUCUUUUACAUUUUCCCAUUUGUCCAGACGAUUUCUAGCUUUCUCUACCUGAAAAUAAAAAUAAAAUUAAAAAAAGAAUCCCAAAUCCAUUUACAACAAUAUUCCAAUGAACUAUUGGCUUUAAAUUUACAAGUUAUAAUAUCACCUCUUUAUCCCAAUCUGUACGGAAUGUGAACCAAAGCAGAAUGAAUGUUUGCAUCACAGUUCCUCCAAUCAUUCCAGUCCAUAUUCCCUGCCAUUAAUACACGUAUAUGUGUUUGUUCCAAAAUAUGUGGUAAAAAUAUACAAGGCUUCUAAAAAUAAUGAAUUUUGUGUAUUAAAAAUAAUGACCUUGGCACCGAAGUCAUAUUUGAAGCCAAGAAGACAUCCUAAUGGAAUUCCUACACCAUAAUAACACCCUACAUUCACGUAUGCAACAAAUGUCUGCCAUCCACAGCCAACAGCAACACCUGAAAAAAUUCAGAAAGAAAAACAAAAUUGUAAAAAAACUUACACAAAUUUUGUGUGAAGUAAAUAUGAUAAUUAACCACUUUAAAUCUACAGAGACUAAAAUGUGUUCACAUGAACUUGUCAAAGGAAUUUAUUAAUUAAUUGGUAGGGUGCCUACGGACAUGUGCACAAUAUGAAUUUGCACCUAACCUCUGGUCAUAUAUAUAUUGUAACAAUUAGGACGUAGAUGAAAUGUUUUCCACAUGCAAUAUGGUGCUAAGUUUAUUAUCAAGGCUGUAACAGAGGUCAACCCAAUUUAAAAUUUAUGGGUCCAAAGUUGGUUUUUAUUGGGUAACUUAUCACCUAGGAGAUAAAAUGAGGUAUCAAAGACGAUUUUAUUUUGAAGACUUGAACUCGAAAUUUAUGGAUAAGAAAAAAAGACACUUACAAUCGCAUCACAAAUUCUAAUAGUGCUCGGCUCUUAUAUCACAGCGAAAAAGUAGGCCUUACUUAAAUCUAACUCAUCUAAAAUUAAUUUACUAUAUUAUAGUUAUCUAAAGUUAUGUAAGAAGAAAACAACCUAAUCUUUUCAAAUGGGACUAUAACAGUACUGACAAAUAAGGAUGAGCAGUCGCUGUAUUGAAAGAUGAUUUAACAAGCUGGCCUGGUGAUACAAUCUUUUUGUGAAAUGGACUAGCCAUAUAUUUUUUUAGGAAAAUAAUGGACUAACCUUAUUUGUUGUGCCUAUGGGUGUCUCUUUUCCUAUUAGUUUCUAUCAUCCAGGAAAGUGAUGCCAACUUUUUGUUAAUUUUUUAAGAAUAAACAACAAAAAAAUUCUUUGGACAUUUAAGACCUUAGGUAUUGUGUGAUUCGCACAUAAAGUUAUUCCGAUAUUAUAAUUUUGCGAUUAAUUUGUCUCAUCUUUUAGGUGGUAUAAAGUAAUAUCAAGUUUUGAGGUAUUAUUUUAUCUUAAAAUUAAUUAUAUUUUUAUUAAAUAAAAUAUUAAUUUAAUUUCAAACUUAAUUCUGAAAUAUUUCGCUUGGAAAACAACCGGCCCUCAGGUACUAAGCAAGUUCCUUCCAACUACUCCAUUUGCAAAAGUAUGAAUCUCACAAUAGAUUAGCCGCCUACACACGUGGCCCUUCUUUGAAUUAAAGGAACAAAGAGGAAAUCUUUUUAAAAAGAGUAAAUUAUCUAUAUACUGAUGAUCACAAGUGGAGCCAAAAUUUUUAUUAAAGAGAUUCAAAAUUUGAAGAAAAUCCAUUGAAGGAAGUUCAAUAUAUACAAAAUAUACAUAAAAAUGAUUUUAACUAUGAAGGGGUUUCUCCGAACCCCUUUAAUAGGAUGGCUCCGCCUCCGUUGAUGAUAUAAUUUCUUAUAUACAUUAGAAUUUUUUUAAAAAGGAGAUUCAAUUGAUUGUCCUUUAUCAUACGUGGUUGCACCACCACUUCCAUGCAAUGUGUCAAGUUCAAGUUAUAUGAAUUAGCAUUGAAUUUAUUGUAAUUUUUAAUGUUAUAGGUAUAGACCUAUUAUUUGUUGCAAUUUUGACACAUUUUUAUACAUGAAUUUAUAUUCCGCAUCAAAAAUAUUAAUUUCAGAUGAACCAAGCGACCACCACCCUUGUAUCUGAUAUAAAAGGUAGAAGAUCUAGUGACUUUUGAAUUUAACUUUUAUACGUUAAUCGUGAAACUGAAGACAACACAUAAUAAGUGAGUUCAGUUACAUGAAGAAUAAGACAAAUAACUUGCUACAACAUGUUAGAUCACGUAAAUAGUAUAAAAACUUUACCUUGUCAGCGUAUAUACCCUAUAUAAUAUCAUACUACAAAUAAGGAGAUUAAGGAGGAGAUAUAUCUUACCAGUCAAGACUGGUUGAAUGCCAUUGAGAAUAAGGGUGAAAGCUAAAAAUGGACACAAAUCAGACACUGCAUUGGCCACAGUUUCACCCUCGGUGAAUGCAUAGCUAAUAACAUUGCGCAAACAUAGCACUAUUAUAGCUUCCACCACAGCUAUAACAAAUGAAAUUGAUGUCACCACAAACACUGAGAAUGCUGCUGACUUUGGAUGUGCUGCUCCUAGUUCAUUGCUCACUCUCACACUGAUCAAAACGAGUUUAACUUCUAUAAACUAACUGUUUAAAUGUUUCUUAUACCAUAUCACUUGUAAAUAUAGGUAAUAUUCUUUAACAAGAAUGGUUUGGUAACUUGCACAUAAUCACAAGUAAUUAUUUUGAACUGUCAUGGUAUAUAAUUUUAAAUAGAAUAUAUAUACCAUGAAUGGUUAAUGGGUAACCAAGAAAGAAAAACUGACCUAGCAGCAGCAUUGAACCCCACUGCAACCAUGAACAUCAGCCCAUUCACUGCCAUGCUACAAAUAUAAAAGUAAAAAGAUUUCUUUAGUUCAUUGGCAAGUCAUUUUUAACUUUUCAAGGCAACAGAAGUGGAUCCAGAAUUUAAAGGAGUGUAUGCGUGUAGAGUACCAUUGCAAUCAUUUCUCCCUCGCGAUAAAGGAUCAAAUUAAACCUCUGUAUAAAUACACGUAUCAAAAAAUUGUAUAUAUGUAUAGUUCCAGUAGAAGGCAACGGGUGUAAAAUGUUGGCCAAGAAUAUCAAGUCAUAGCUAAUUGAUUAACAACUUAACCUUUUUUAGAGAGAAAUUUCUUGAUAUUGACACUAUAAUAUAUAUAGAUAUAGCUAACUAGUUUUAUGAGAUCAUGAACAGAAUGUAGUUUUUGGUAGCAUACAAAUAAACAGAAGGGUAACAAAAUCUCACCAUACUGAGAUAGAAUCCAAUGCAAGCUCAGGAUUCUUGAGCAACCCUGAAAGCAACACAAGAAUUUGAAAAUACCAUGUCUCCAAACACAACAUAACAGCUGAAGCCGCCGAUAACUUCACGAAUUCCCAUAAUCCACUGAAUGCCUCCCAUCGAAAACCUGUCCAAGUAGCCUUACACCUUUCACUUGUCAAUAUGUAUAUAAACUGAGCCCCAACAAUAAUCCACCAAGAAAGACUCAAUACCAGUGAUGCCCCUAUCAAUCCCAGUCCAAUUUUGUAUACAACAAUCCAACUGAGCAGUAAGUGUACAAAUAGAGUCCCUAGGGAAAUAAAGGCACUAGGGGCUACAAUACUCUGAGAUUGCAAGAACUUCUGUAUUGGGAAAUUCACCGCGUAAGCAAAUAUCUGGGGUAUUAGGCCAUACACAAAUACUGCUGCUUGUGAUGCAACUGGUUUUGAUUCACCAAGCGCGAGCAGUAUGUUCUUGGAAAACAAAUACACCACAGCUAGUGGUAUGCCUGUUAUUGAAAGUACUACUGUUGAUCUUUGUAGGUAGACUCCUAACAUUUCAUAUCUAUUAGCUCCAUAUGCUUGUCCACAUAGAGUUUCCACUGCACUGCCCAUCCCUAGCUGCAACAACAAGGGAAAAAUGAAAAGAAAAAAAAGAAGAAGAAAAUUGGAAAAGUUAUACAUGUAGUGUUGUUUUGUCAUCAAAAUUCCUCUGCUAGCUUUUCCUUUUUUGCACACACAAGUUCUCAACUUUCUUUUCCUUUACUAUCAUAGUUUAAGUUGAAAAUUGCAUAGCCAUAAAUACCAAAUGGACAAAUAUAAGGAACUUACAUCAUAUUGCGAUUUGCGAAAGCAACUUAGAGAUAUAAGGGUAUACCAUAAGGCCAUACGAUUUGCGAAAGAAACUUAGAGAUAUAAGGGUAUACCAUAAGGCCAUAAGCACAUAAUUGGAUGCCUUGAUUGCCAAGAGAGGCAGCAGCAAGCUGAAGGUUUCCAAGUUGACCCGAAAAGAUUCGUGUAGACAUGGACAUAGCAUUAUUGAUCAUGUAGACAGCCACUGCAGGGGCUGCAAGUCGAAAAAGCAACUGGAAUUCGAUCCAAAAGGCGGACCUAAGGCGUUGAAAGUAAGGUAAUUGGGAGUUGGAGAGCACCUCCUCGAGCUCAGAACUCGCCCCAUGGGCAGCCAACAAGGGCUGCUCAGCUUCAGACUCCAUAAUUUUUCCCAUGCCAAUGUGAAAGUAGAAUGUAAUGAAAGUAACUUGUAGGCAUAUAAAUAAUAGAUGAAGUUGUCAUCUUGACAUUUAAUCUGAGAAAAUGAGAGGUAAAGAAUGUAUGUCAUUUUGUGAAGAGUGGAAUUAAUACAUGGUAUGUAACAAUCAGUAUAUAGUUGGAGUUGUUUGAUGGAAUAUAUAAAGAUAUUUAUCUUGUGCAGUACUUGUGUACGUGUAAAUUUGUCACCAGCAAUAUGGCACUACUCCUUUUCUGAAAGCUAUAUCACACAAAUGCAUUAAUCUUCCACUAUGUCAUCUUCUACAAGUUACACUAAAGAAUCUAGCUAGUACAAAAAUCGCGUUGUAGCAUUUUAACAAAAUGAGAAAAAAUUCUUGGACACAGAAACUGCUAACAUAAUGAGACAUCUAUCAAUAAAUUCUUUAUUGACAAGCCAUAUAGAAUCUAGUAAUUUCAACGAGCAUGUAGAAUGGAGAAGAAAAAAGAUCUUUAUUGGCAUAUAAAAAUUACUUGGAUGAAAAAGUCUUCUUGAGGCCGUUUCAUGUGAGAUUUGAGAGGUUAAUGUAUGUCAUCAUUUUAUGAAGCAUGGAAUUACAUCUCUUCCAUACUAAAUUACACUACUUUUCUUGGACGUAUAAUGCACCAAUACACUGAAACACCUUUUAAUCAAUCUAUCGAUCAAUCAACUAUUUUUUCGAUCAAGCCAUAGAAUGUAGUAUCCUAAUGAGCAUGUAGAACGAACAGAAACUAUAUUUUAGGCAUAUAAUAUAAAUGAUAGAUGAUAAAUUAAUGGUUAAUAUAUAUCAUUUUGUGAAUUACUUGGUAACAAUUAGUAUAGUUGGAUUUGUUAGAUGGAAUCUUUAAAGAUAACUGCGUACAUUUGUACAGUAGUUGUUGAUAUAUAGAGCAUGGUAACUCAUGUGAAAAUCCGUCACAGAGAUCAGAUCUACCUUAUUAACAGGGAAGAUCUAAGAAAUGAUAAUUAAUUCCAUCUUAUGAAAUUAUUAACCCCCCCCUCUCCCCCACCCCAAUCUAUUUUUUUUUAUAACUUCCUUUCCGCUAAAUGAUGCUUCAUUGUUUCCAUUUAUUUGAAUGUAUUUGACCGCAUAUAAAGUUUAAGAAAUUAAAUAUAAAUAUUUUAUACUUAUAUAUACAAUUAAUUCAUCGCUACAACUUUGGCCUAUGGCAGCUCUAGUUUUAGGGAACACUUGAAAGGUGCAACCAAAAUAUUUGUGCAACACUACAUUCUAGUUUUAAGGGGUGGGCUUUAUUGAAGUGUUCUUUAUAGGAAAAAAUACAUAAAGUAACAUAUUUAAGUAUUAAAUUACAAAAAAUAGCAACAUUUUUAUCAAAUUACAUUUUGUAGCAUAUGUAUUUGUAUUUUUAUAGCAACAGUUUGCAAAAAUACAAAAUACAUAUCGAUCAUAAGGACAAUAAAAAUCAAUAUGUAUUUAUAUUUUUGUAGCAACAGUUUGCAAAAAUACAAAAUACAACUUGUUAUAUUAUGUAAUUAUGAAACUGUUGCUAUGAAACUCAUAAUUAAGGGAAUAAAUAUGCUAUUUCUGAAUUUUGCUCUUCUUAAUAAUAUAAAGACCGCGCUUUUGAAGUGUUGCCAAAUCAUGGCAUUUGGUAUUUGAGUGUUGGUGAUAUAAAACAUGUGCAUAAGAAAAAAAAGGAAAAUGAAUCGAUUUAUGCUAUGAUGAAGCAUUCGAAGUAUAAUUGCACGCUCAUACGGUCUUUGUGGGAUUCGACUCCUCUGCAUUUCUGUUAUCUCUAUUUUCUUCAAGUUUCUACUUGAAUGAGAGACACAUGAUAUUAGUUAAAAUGAAUGGUUAAGAUUUAAUUACUAAAUUAAGAUUCUGACCAUGAUAUGAACAACAAAUAUUUUACCUAUUUGCUUCCAAAAUUUUAGUAAUUCAACAAUUGUUAUAGUUACAUAAUUAUUUUACCCCUAAAUAUAUUUUUUUUAAAAAAAAUUCUAUCUAUUUCUACCUUUUUUUCUACGCUGUGUUCUAUUUUUAUGCUCAUGGACUAUCUUCCAACUUCUUUAAGUUAAUUUUUUAUUUCAUUUUAACCAUUAGAUACUUUUUCUUUAAAAUUAGCUAUGAGUAUAAAUGGUGACACUUCAAUAUUUUUAAUAACCAAGUUUCUUUUUAAUUAUGCUAAUUGAUUAUUUUUAUUAUAAUAUCGAUAAUGCUUGUGUUAUUAUAAUAAUUUACUACUCAAAGAUUUAUAUUUAUGAGAUAAUUUUUUACUGUUGUCAUGAUUUUGGCUUUGCCAAUUUUUUUUAUAGCUAGUCUUUUUUUUUUUUUUGGAUGAAGAGAAAAAAUGAUAAGAGCUAAGAAAUUUGGAAAAGGCAAAAAUAAUAAAGUUUUUAAAAUGAUAAGGGUAUAUCUAUAAAAAAAAAUUUACCAUAAAAUAUUUUUUUAAUCAUAGGAUAAUUUUUUUCUAGUUAAAUCAUGGUUAGAAGAAAAAAGUAGGAAGAGAGAAUUUUUAAAAAAUAUAUUUAUGGAUAAAAUAAUUUGGUAGUUGUAAUUUUGAAAUUACUAAAUAUUUUUGAAGCAAAUAUAUAAAAUAUUUAUUAGUCAAAUCUUAACCAUGAAUAGAGGUAAAUUUCAUCCAUGAUCACUUAACUUUGUAUCUAUUACGCAAAAGUCACUUUUCUUUCAUUCAUUUCAUCCAUGGUCAUUUAACUUUACUCCGACCAUCACAAAAGUUACUAUGACUGGAUUUUACAAUAAUGCCAUCGAAGAAAUGAUGUGGCAACCUUAAUUAAUUAUUAAUUUUAAUUUAAGUGAAUAUAUAAUAUAUUACUCGUAUCUUAACUUUUUUUAUAUGUGGACAACCCAAAUUUCCUUAUGGAUUAUUUAAUGAAAGACUAUCAUUUUCUUAAUAGAUUAGAUUAUCUAAUGAAUACUAUUUACAUAAAAAAAUUUAGUUGAUAUUUUUAUGAAAUAUUUCAUAAUAUUACAUUCAUCUGCCAAAAAGGUGCAUCGAAAAAGAGUGAUAAACAAGAUAAAUUCUUCAAAACACAUACAUGUAUGAUAUUUUUUAUUUUUUUAAAAAAUAAUUUUGAAGAUAAAUCAACACGCUAAAGAUAGUUUUAAAAUAAAAUCUUUUUAAUUGUGUCAUUGAAUAAGUAUUGUCAAAAUUUGUACAAAAAAUAUUAUAUUAACGUACAGUUUUGUUAAUAAAAGUUAUAAAAUUAAGUACUUUAAUAGAUAAAGAAAUUAUAGGAUAUCUAAUUUUUAUAUUUAUCAAUUAAAUUAAUUAAAUAAUAUGUAAUUUAUCAGAAAUUGAAUAUUAUAAUAAAUUUUUUUAAGAAAACUAAUCGAUUAGUCAAACAAUUAAAAAUAAAAAGACAAACUCGGUAAAUAGAGUAGUUUAUCAUAUUAUUAUGAUAUACCGAAUGCAAAGACUCAAUUGGCAACAAAAAGAAUGUAUGAAAAAAAUAUCAACUACAUGUCACAAUUUUAGAGGAGAAAAAUAAUUUUAUCAACUACAUGUCAUGAUAUAUUAGUGAAAAAAAUAAUUUACCAAUAUAUGUCUCAACUUUAGAGGAUUUUAAGAAUAUAUAAAUAUAAUUUUAUUUCAUAAAAAUAUCAGCCAAUUUUUUUUUUUUAUGAAAAUAGUCUUCAUUAGGUAAUCUCAUCUAUUAAGAAAUUUAAUUGGUAUUCUUUCUUUAAACAAAUCAUAAGGAAAAUUGGGUUGUGCAUAUAUAAAGGGGUCAGGAUAUGAGUAAUAUAUUAUAUAUUCACUUAAAUUAAAAUUAAGAACUUAUUAAGGUUGUCACAUAAUUUUUUUAUGAAAUUAUUGUAAAAUUCGGUUAUAGUGACUUUUGUGAUGGUUGGAGUAAAAUUAAAUGACCAUGGACGAAAUAAAUGAAAAAAAGUGGCUUUUGCGUAAUAAAUACAAAGUUAAGUGACCAUGGAUGAAAUAAAUGAAAGAAAAAUAACUUUUGGGUAAUAGAUACAUAGUUAAGUGACUAAGAAUGAAAUUUAUCCUCAUUUUAACACAUGUUAUGUGUCUCUCAUCCAAGCAAGAUCUUGGGAAAAAUGGAGAGGAGCGCAACCCGUCUUUGCGGAGAUUAUUCACCUCUAUUCUAUGCUUUUAAAGGGUGCUAUAUUUUUAUGAAACCAACAUUUUUCAGGUGUUGUCACCAAUUUAGCUAGAAGGAACCUGUUCUCUUCAAAAAAAGUGAAGUGACUAGUCCUCAUCAUCUUAAAGAAUCAGAUUCCACUAUUAUAAUUAUUGACAGAAAUAUAUUCUCCAAAGGAGUAAACCUUUUAGUACUACUAAAGCUUCUAUAACUUGCACAUUCUACUCAACCAAAUAAAAUUUUCAUUUUCUUUUUAUGGAUCAUUCCUAUUAAGCAAAAUGACAUUCUGAAACUUUAUACUAUGUCGGUUUUAUAAGUUGGACAUUUCUACUUACAUGUUUGUCAUCUGAACCCGUGAACCUACUAAAAAGCAAUAUUUUAAAUCCUUUUUUGGUGAGUGUAACACAUUCUCUCCUACGUCAGCUGUCACGUCAGUCAUGCCUGUCACGUUAUCUGACACAUCAUUUAAAAAAAAAAUAGAAAAAGUAUUACAUUAAAUUCCAAGUCAUUUUUAAAAUGCUACAUAACAAAUUAAAUAUUAAAAUUAAUUUAAUUAAAUAAGAAAAAAUUAUAAAUUGUAGAAAAAUUUGAAUAAUCAUGCUUUUAAAAUUUGAAUAUUCAUUUAAAAAAAAUAAAAAAAUAUUACAUUAAAAUUAAUUAAAUAUUUAAAUUAAUUUAAUCAAUUAAUUUAAAUUAGUGAAAAAUUAAUUAAUUAAAACUCUUAACUAAUUAAUUUAUUUAAAUUAAUUAAUUUCUAAAAUUUAAAAUUCUUACCUAAUUUAAAUAAAUUUUACUUAAAUAAUUAAUUUAUUUAAAUACGAUUUACAUAUUUAAAAUAUUUAAUUUAAAUUAAUUGCGAGGGUAGGGGCUGGGGUGGGGUGGUGGGCCGGGGAGGGGCUAAGUGGGGUGAGGGUUGAGGGNNNNNNNNNNNNNNNNNNNNNNNNNNNNNNNNNNNNNNNNNNNNNNNNNNNNNNNNNNNNNNNNNNNNNNNNNNNNNNNNNNNNNNNNNNNNNNNNNNNNNNNNNNNNNNNNNNNNNNNNNNNNNNNNNNNNNNNNNNNNNNNNNNNNNNNNNNNNNNNNNNNNNNNNNNNNNNNNNNNNNNNNNNNNNNNNNNNNNNNNNNNNNNNNNNNNNNNNNNNNNNNNNNNNNNNNNNNNNNNNNNNNNNNNNNNNNNNNNNNNNNNNNNNNGGUGUUGGGGGGGGGGGGGGGCGGGGGGGGGGGUGUGGAGAUGGGGACGGGCUGAGGUGGGGGGUAAAUAUUUUUAUUUUUUAAAAAUUUUUAAAAAUAUUUUUAACUUAAAAAAGAUAGAGGGAAAAAGGAACCUUUUUUAUUUUUUUAAAUUUUUAAAAAUAUUUAAAAUUAUUUUUAAAUUUUUAAAAAUAUUUUUAAAUUUAAAAAGAUGGAGGGAAAAAAAGGAUUUUUUUUAUUUAUUUUUUUAAAAUUUUAAUAUUAUAUUUUUUAAAAUUAUUUUAAUGUAAAAUUGGCCAAAAAUUGACCUCCACUCGCACCCCUAGGUGAGUGUUUACACUCUCUUUGUCCUAAUCACCAUGACCUUACCACAUAGGUAAGGUCAACGGUCAAAUGGUGCGAAAUGUUGUUUUUUGAUGGGUUUAAGGAUCCAAAUGACAAAUGUGUAAGUAGAAGUGUUCAACUUACAAAACUGACAUAUUAGAGGGGUGGAGAAGGUCAUUUUGCCAAAUAUGAAUUAUAACCAAAUCUCACUUAACCCCCCUAACUUUUUGGGCCUGGGAAACAAUAUCCCUUCAUCUUUUGAAAGGGACAUACGAUACAAUGUAAUUGCUUAAAGUUGUUAAUUAGCGAAAAAGCUAUAUGUUAGUAUAAUGUAAUCCAAGUUAAUUGAGGGCCAUUUUUGAUACUUUUAAAGAUGAGAAAAGCUAUAAACGCACCACUAAAAUUUUCUUAAAUUUUUAAUAAAACGCUUAGGGGCCGUUUGGUGUGAGGUACUAAGACAAGUUAUCCCGGAAUAAAAUAAUAGUUCCGGGAUAAACUUUUUAAUACACCAUUUGAUUUGACAAUAUUUGGAAUAAUUUAUUCCGGAAUUAAUAAUAGUCCCGGAAUAAGUUAUACCACAUAUUUGGUGGUAUAAAUUAUCCCAUCUUAAUUUAUUCUGGGAUAAAUUAUAAAAUGACAAAAAUAUCUCAAAUCCAUUACAAACACAUCUCUCCAAUCUUUUUCAUCAUCUUUAAUUAUUGCUUUUGAAAUUGAAAAAAAGAUUAUUGAUAUCUAAUUGAUUAUCUAAAACGUGUUAUUUAUGACAAAUUAAAAAAACUAAAAUAUCUUAUUUUGGAACGAAGAAAAUAUAUUAUUAAGAAAAAUUAGCCUCUUAUUAAUUAAACUUUGCAUUUUUUUUUUCAUUCCAUUACUUGUGAAUUUUAUAAACCUAUACGCUAUUUUCUCAUAUAAAGGAUCAAAAUACAAAAUUAACAAAUUAAAAAAUAAAAUAUGUUAGAUUCAUACAUAAUAAGUAUCAAAACUAGGUACUAUAAUUUUUUAUAUAUCCAACAAAAUAUAGGUACUAUAUUUUUUAAGCAUAGAAAAAUGAAAUUCAACAUCAAUUUUUUGCUUCGAAGUGUUAUUUUUGUGAAUUGACAACACAAAAAAUUCUUACUACACAAUGAAAAAGAUUAACUAAAGUAAGUAGAUUUUAUAAUAAUAAUUACCAUUCACUAGUAAUUUAUAAAAUAUUUUAACAACUACAAAGGCGUUGUCUAAUUUUAAUACACAUUAUCGUUUCACAAUAGACUCUAUUGUUCAAUUACAUAUUUUAAAUUAAAUAGUUUUUUAAUAACUUGAAAAUUGUUAUUGUAUGUAUCAAUUAAAAUGAAUUUUAAUAUUCUAUAUUAUAUGAGUAAUAUGUGUUUAAAUGAAGUGACAUAAACAACAGAUCUUCUUUUACUUUAACAAACUUAAGUUGGAAGUUUUUAAUUCAAACUAAAUAAGAUGUAGUAAGUUUUUUUUAAAACGCACACGGUAUAAUUAUGGAAAGACACAUGCAAAAAAAUUAAAGCUAAAUAAGAUGAAAGUUUUAUUUUUAAAAUACACACGAUAUAAAUAUGAAAAUGCACCUACAAAAAAAUUAAGCUAAAUAAGAUGAAAGUUUUACUUUUAAGAAUAACUAUUUAAAGCUUGAAAGCAAAUAUAUAUAAACAAAAAAGAAGUUAAAUAAGAUAGGAGUACUUUGGUAAUCACAUACUUUAUUCUUAGAAAUUAUAUCAUGUAUAUUAAUUUGAAAACAACAAACCAAACAUUCAAUAAAAAAUAAUCUUAGUAUAACUAAUCUCAGUAUAACUUACUUCAUAGUAACUUAUCCCAACAUAACUAAUCUCAGCAUAACUACAUUUCCAACCAAAGUACACCUUAAAGUACGUGGUCCUAUUACCUCCCUAAAUAAUUUGAAAGUAAUAUUAUUAACUCAUUUUGAGGUCAACUCUACUUUAAAAAAAAGUGAUUUUCACGCACCAAUCUUUGAUUGCCACGUGUUAAAAUGUCAUUGUAUUAUUUAAAAAAAAGGAAAGAGUACGAUUUUUUAUAAAUAAAGAAAAAACUUUUCAAACCCCUCCCCACACGCACGUCUCUUCUUCCCUUUCCCUAACCCUCUUCACCAAAUUAAAAAAUAUAGUACAGUACGCCAUUUCCAUGGCUUUCCGCUACUAAUUUGUCGUCGUUUGAGUCGAAAAAAAUAUUUUCAUCAUUUUCGUUGAAAAAAUUAAAUGCCGAUGGUGAAAUUCAUUAGCAAUGCAUGUUAUAGAAGAAUCUUUUUAUUGCCAAAAAAAUCAUUUUCACCGGAUAAAAUGGUGGCUACCAAUGAUUUGUUCAUUUCCUUCUUUAUUUUUUCUUUUUAUCGUCAGUUACCUUUUCAUCAAUUUCAUCGAAUGGUGCAACUCACUUCCUUAAAAGAAGCAUCUCUUUGUCGUCGAAAAAUUUAUUUUGACAGGAUAAAAUAGUGGCUAACAAAAUAAUGCAUUAUUGGGUCCUAUUUGGUGCAUCAUUUGAUUCAUUGAGGACGAAGAGAGAAAAAAAUAUUUCUGAUUGAAAAAACUUCUUCAAUGCUAUCAAUGAUAUUUUUGGAGAAAAUUGUAAGAUGGAUUUAAUUAAUAAAGAAGACAAAUCAAAUUAAUAAUGUCAUGUGGCUUUUCUACACUGGCUUGAGGUUUUAUUUUUACUUCUUCACACGCUUUAUCAAUGUUAGAACAUAAUUGGUGAGAAAAUCGGUCAAAAUGAUCUAUUAAUAAUAAUUAUUAUAAUUUUUAUGGAAUAAUAGAUCGCCACAAAAUUAAAAUAUUUUUUAGGAGAGAUAAUUUGAAUGAUGAGGUUAUGUCUUUUCUCUUUAAAGAUAUAUGCUAUGAUCCAACUAAUAGUUGACUUGAUUUAAGAUAAAGAGAAUCUAUUGGCUCUUUCAAACGGUGGAGGGAGUAUUGUUUCUCGAGCCCAAAAUAUAUAUUACUCCAAAACAUUGUAUAUAAUUGGGUUGAAGGGUGUCAACCAAACACCAAAGACAUCCUUUACAUUCAUAGUAAUAUUUUAUCUAUCACUGCGUGCAAAACACCUAUUAAAGGAGCAAAAAAAGAGUAAAAGGAUAAAAAUAGUCCAAGCAAGACCUUUACACAUAAAGAAAAAUGUCAAUAAUUCGUUGUUGCACAAAGUAUCAACAGGCCCUCCAUAUUUCCAUAAAAUCUUUUUUUUUUUUCUAUACAUAAUAGGUGUCUGUUUUCCUUUAUUUUUAUGGUAGGCGAGUAUAUAUAUCUAGUCUAAAGUGAAACAAUAGGGGUUUUAUUUUACCCCUUUUUUACUACGUACUCAAUACUUUUUUGUAGUGUGUUAGUUAAUACAAUAUCGAUAAUAAAGUCGAAUAUAAAGUUAUUCAAAUUCACUUAGUUUAAUACUUGUGAUUUGUAAAGAAAAAAGAUAAUGAAGCAAUCCUCACUCCUCAGUCAGCUGCCAAAUAUUUUAAACCAAGAGUACAAACUUAGAUUCUAUAUAUGAUAUAUAAUACUUAUAAUUUAAUUCAAAAAUCUUGUUAAGAAUGUUCAUAUCAUGGAAUCUGAGUCAUAAAUGUCUAUUCUUUAGCCUAAAUUAUUUGUACGUGGGUCAUUGUCUCAUGCAAAUAUCUCACUAGCUAAAGCAAAAUAAUAAUGUAAUUAAUAAUUGCACACAUCAUCUUUAAUUUGGAAAAGAAACCACAAGGAUGUCGGGAGCGGAGAGCAGGUACAUCGUGAAUUCUAGAGUUCUAGAUUUUGACUUUUGAUUUUAAAAAAGUUUUUGAUAGGGAGCGCUAUGCUAAUAUCGUAUCUGUUCAAUUAGAGUAAACUCUGAUUAAUUAUGCUUGAAUACAAAUAUCAAAAAUUGAAUGACUUUCUUUUUUUUUUUUUUGUAAAAAAAGAACUUUUGAAAAGAAAAUAUUAUACUCCUUCCAUUCAUUUUUACUUGGUCACGUUUUUAUUUUGAGAUGUCAACAAUAUUUGUUUAGUUAAUAAAAUCAAUGGAUAAUUUUUCUAUUUCUACUCAUUUUACGUUAAAUACGAUUCGUUAUCAAAUGCAUUUUUCAAAUAUUAAAUUUAUUAUAUUCAAAAGGUAAUAUGAUAAAUUAUUCUUAUUUGUUUCUUUAUCACUGUGUCAAUAGAAAAGUGAAUAAAUAAAGAUGGACGGAGGAAGUAGCAUAUCGGAUGUCCUAUGAGGCGUCCAUAGGGUAAAAGUAAUAUUCUCUCCAUCUCACCGUUUAGUCGAUCUCAAAAAUAAUAUUAUUAUAUUUUCUAAUAACUGAAACCAAUUUAAUUUUAAACCUCUUUUUUAUCUUUAAAAAAUUAUUUAUAACCACGCAAAUCUUUAGAAUUUAUUUAGACUAUAGAUUUUCUUUUCUGGCUUAAAGUUUUUAUCUAAUCAAAUGAUACAAUGUAGAUUGCGAGGAAGAGAUUUGGAGAACUUGAAGUUCUUUCCGUUUCUCAUCUUCGAAAAGUGCACCAAUAAUCGAUUUUGGGAUCUCAUUUACUCAAGAUCUAAAUUCAUAUCAUAAAAAAAUUAGUCGCCGCCGUAGAUUGAAAUUGAAAAGAAAAGUUAUAUAAAUAAACUUUCAAUAUUGAUGUAAAUAAACUUUCGAACUGUAUGAAUAUUUCUGUCAAGAUCAAAUUUCAAAUAUAUGUCUGAAAAUUGAAAUGUGUGUGUUUCAAAAUGAGAGUAAUUUUUAUAAAGUUUGAACUAUGGGUAUUCUAACCCUUUCCACAUUUCCAAUCAUUUUCAACAAUUACCAUCUUAUUAUUUAAACUCACUUUUCAUAUUCGAAAAUCAAGAUUCACUUUUUCAAGCUUGCAAAUUUCAUUAAUGAUUAUUUUUAGCUGAUGUUUUAGUUUACUCCACGGAAUUUUGGUAUAUAGAAGUUGAUGAAUUUAUUUCCUUUAUGAUUUUGAGAAGCUUUAUUUAGGGAUAUACUUGGAUUGACGUAUAAUAUGUUCGAGUAUCUCAUAAGAUUUGAUUGAUGAAUGACAUUAUAAAGCUUAGGGGUCGUUUAGUACAUGGGAUACGAAUAAUAAUAUUAAGAUAAAAUUAAAAUGAACUUUAUUUAAUGUUUGGUGUGAAGUAUUAGCUGCUUUCGAAAUUAUUUUAUUUCACCCUUUGUACUAAAACAAUGGAAUUACUGUUGAGAUAUUCCAUCCAUCGAAUAUUGCACGUACCGUAAACACGUGAUUUUUGAUCCUCCUCAAAUUUUAACUUAUUUUUAUAUUAAAUAUUUAUAUUUGGCAUAAUAUUAUUUAAUUUCUUAUUUUAUUUUUAUAAAAUUUUAUUAAAAAUUUAAUAAUUAAAUAAAUUUAAUUUUUGAGAUAUAUAUUAUUUUAUCUUAAUUUUAAAAAAUUAUAUUCAUUCUAAAUUUUAAUAAAUAAAUUAGUAGUUUAAUACUAUUUUAUUAUAUUUAUUUUUGUCUAUUUACAAUUUGUUAUUAUGUUUUGUUAAAUAUAAAAUUAAUUAUUAUUUUAUUUAUUAUUGUUAUUUUUGUCUAUUUAUAAAUUCUUAUUAUGUUUUGUUAAAUAUAAAAUUAACAAUUAUUUUAUUUAUUAUUAUUAUUAUUAAUAUAUUUAUUUAUUUAUUAUUAUUAUUAUUAUUAUUAUUAUUUUCUAUUUUAAAAAAAAUUAAUUAACUAAUUUAAAUUUUAAAUAUUCCCUCCCCUUAUCUGUUGAGGAAGGAUUCCCCCUAAAAAAUAAUCGUUCCCCCCAAAAUUCCCUCUACAAAAGGGAUUCUCUCACCUCAGAACAACAGAAAAGAUUCAUCAUCAGACAGAAAGAAAACCAAAGAGGAAAAAGAAGUCAGAGAGAAAACCCCCAAAAAAAUAAGAUAGGAUUCUACGUACUUCAUCAUCCAUAAUAUCAGAAUAAGUUAAAAAAAAAAAAAAAGAGGGUGAAGGAAAAAUUGAGAUUGUGUUCAUCAAUCCGGUAGACGAUUAUAUCUUGCUUCAAUACUCUGUUUGAAUCAAUUACAGGUUUUUAUUCGAAUCUAAAUCAUUUACAUAUAAAUUUCAUUGUGUAAAAGUAUAAAUAAAAAUGUUCAAAUAAUUUUCUGCAUUUUUAAUAUAUGUAAUUGAAUAAUUGAUAAAUUUUUGUCAUUAUAUGUUAUGUAAUUAUGAUACUGAAUAUAUCUGUACACACGUAUAAACAGAGAAGGAGAAUUUUCCAAUUCAUUAGCAACAUACACAGCACACACUAACACAUUACAGUAAUUAGAAAUGCAAAUAGUGUGAAACCAGUAAAAAAUAAUAAUAAAACAGAGAGAAGGUUGUUUCGCUUUCCGGUGAAAUUUCGCCGGAAAACUAUCGGCAAACACCAUAUAUGCGCCGACCACCCCCUUUCUUCCCCUUUUCCAUCUCCCCGACAACCAAACAUAUCCAUCCCAUCGCCGAAAAACCGAUCAGCCACGCCCCACUCCCCUUCCCCUUUUCCUUUUUCCGGCGAUACUACCAGAUCUGGAUGGCGCCGCUCCCGUUUCCCCUCUCCCCAUUGCCGCUGUCUCCAUCUCCCUUUCCUCCGCCGUCGUCCCCUUUCCCGUCCCUAUUCACCGAUGCAACCCAAAACUGAUGUAAUUCCGCCGGUAACCACCCCUGAACCGGCGGAAAACCACUAGAUCUGCUGGUGACUCAUCGAUCUCCUUCCUUCUCCCUUGUCCAGUGAUCUCCAUUACUGCUAUAAAUGUUGUAAAAAUAAAAAUUGAAAUACUGAAUGUAUGUGAAGAAGAUUUCUUUAUAUUUCUUUUAUUUUUGUUUCCUUUUAGGAUAAAUACCCAUGUCCCUAUGUUAGUGUAUAAUUUAAAAUUAUUUCAUUUAAUAAUUAGUAAAAAAUAAAGUAUGAAUAAAUUUGAUACUAAUAAAAUUUAUUAUUUAUUUCGAGAAUUUUCGUGUAUGAUUUAUCUUAUAAUAUAUAAUUUGAGUUUAUUUAAUUUAAAAAGAUUUUUUACGAAAAGUUAUUAUUAUAAUAUAUGUAGAUUUGCAUAUUUUAUUAUUUUAUUAACAGAAUUUAAUAAUUAUUUAUUAAUUUAAUUAAUUAUGUUAAAUGAAUUUUGCUUUAAUUUAUUAUUAAAGGUUUAGAUAAAUUUUAGACACCCUUUAAAUAUUUGUUCUAAUUAAGAAUGCGGCAUACACAUCUUUCCGAGACAUUUUAAAGAUUCAAGGAUGCAAUAAUGCACCUUGACAAAUAACUUUUUUUAAAAAAAUUAAUUUUUCUCGAUUUAUUUGAUAUCAAAGGCGUAGAUAGACAUUUUCAAUAUAAUAAAAAUGAGCGGAUUUAGGCCUUAACAUAAUUUAUCAAACUAGUUUAAAUCAAGAUAAGUCAGUAAAACCGACUGUGCUAGAACCACGGGACUCGAGGGGUGCCUAACACCUUCCCUUCGAUCAAUAGAAUUUCUUACCCGGUCUUCUGUUUUCGCAGGUCAUAUUAAAGAGUCAUUUCCUUUUGAUUAGGGAUUCAAAAAGGUGACUUGGAACACCAAAACUCAAUUCCAAGUGGUGACUCUGUAAUUAAAAUAAUCUCUAUUCAAUAUCAUCACUUUAAUUGGAAAAAUCCUUCAACUCGAUCUCCUCGAGCAAAAAAAGGGUGUGACAUCUCUGGCGACUCUGCUGGGGAUACUAACUAGAAUUCGAGCUUUAAAUAUUGACUUUACUUGCUUUAAAUAUUUUUAUUGUAUCUGUUUGCCUUAUGUGCUAUUUGUCACUCAUUUCCUUCUUUGAUAUUAUUUGAACUGUAUUAUAUAUCGUCUUCUCUCGCGUAUCCCAUCUGAGUCUCUGAAUAGGAUAGAAGGAAUGCAGCACAUGCAUCCUACUUACUUUUUGAGAUAGCCGGAGUGUCAAGGCACCUGGUGAAGGAUAUAGCCACACAUGUUAGAAGGGGUUCGGAUCGACAACGAAGGCGGUGUUGCCCUGCUACCGACUAAGUUGUCCUUCCCCAGCUCGAGUGUCCGUUCGGGUAAGCCAGUCUAGACACCUAUCCCUAUUAGGCAUAAACUUAGAAGAACUGAAAACUCAAAAUCUAGUUAUUCCUAUUAAGUACCACUUUAUUUGCAUCAUAUGCAUUUGAUUUAGCGGGACUCGGCACAGGGGCCGGAUCUGUCUAGGACAGGUGACCUAAUUUCUAAACACCAACAUGUGCAUCCUACGUGCUCUUUGACAUUUGCUUGGAAGGCUAUUUAUUUGUUGACCGACUUUAGGCAAUUUUAAAAUGCGAGAGAUUAAUUUAUCCUAAAAUUUAGUCAAUCAUUUUUUAAAGAAAAAUUUUACUUUUAAAUAAAGAUUUUUUUUUUUUUAAAAAAUAUACAGCAACACAAUUUUUACAAUCUUUAUGAACUACGAGGGUCUGAUUCUCACAUUUUAGUGGAAUACGUAGGAAGUCCUUCCCAGGAUACGACCCUAUCUUUUGAAAAAUUAUUCAUAGAUUUAUUGGGGAAUAUUUUGANNNNNNNNNNNNNNNNNNNNNNNNNNNNNNNNNNNNNNNNNNNNNNNNNNNNNNNNNNNNNNNNNNNNNNNNNNNNNNNNNNNNNNNNNNNNNNNNNNNNNNNNNNNNNNNNNNNNNNNNNNNNNNNNNNNNNNNNNNNNNNNNNNNNNNNNNNNNNNNNNNNNNNNNNNNNNNNNNNNNNNNNNNNNNNNNNNNNNNNNNNNNNNNNNNNNNNNNNNNNNNNNNNNNNNNNNNNNNNNNNNNNNNNNNNNNNNNNNNNNNNNNNNNNNNNNNNNNNNNNNNNNNNNNNNNNNNNNNNNNNNNNNNNNNNNNNNNNNNNNNNNNNNNNNNNNNNNNNNNNNNNNNNNNNNNNNNNNNNNNNNNNNNNNNNNNNNNNNNNNNNNNNNNNNNNNNNNNNNNNNNNNNNNNNNNNNNNNNNNNNNNNNNNNNNNNNNNNNNNNNNNNNNNNNNNNNNNNNNNNNNNNNNNNNNNNNNNNNNNNNNNNNNNNNNNNNNNNNNNNNNNNNNNNNNNNNNNNNNNNNNNNNNNNNNNNNNNNNNNNNNNNNNNNNNNNNNNNNNNNNNNNNNNNNNNNNNNNNNNNNNNNNNNNNNNNNNNNNNNNNNNNNNNNNNNNNNNNNNNNNNNNNNNNNNNNNNNNNNNNNNNNNNNNNNNNNNNNNNNNNNNNNNNNNNNNNNNNNNNNNNNNNNNNNNNNNNNNNNNNNNNNNNNNNNNNNNNNNNNNNNNNNNNNNNNNNNNNNNNNNNNNNNNNNNNNNNNNNNNNNNNNNNNNNNNNNNNNNNNNNNNNNNNNNNNNNNNNNNNNNNNNNNNNNNNNNNNNNNNNNNNNNNNNNNNNNNNNNNNNNNNNNNNNNNNNNNNNNNNNNNNNNNNNNNNNNNNNNNNNNNNNNNNNNNNNNNNNNNNNNNNNNNNNNNNNNNNNNNNNNNNNNNNNNNNNNNNNNNNNNNNNNNNNNNNNNNNNNNNNNNNNNNNNNNNNNNNNNNNNNNNNNNNNNNNNNNNNNNNNNNNNNNNNNNNNNNNNNNNNNNNNNNNNNNNNNNNNNNNNNNNNNNNNNNNNNNNNNNNNNNNNNNNNNNNNNNNNNNNNNNNNNNNNNNNNNNNNNNNNNNNNNNNNNNNNNNNNNNNNNNNNNNNNNNNNNNNNNNNNNNNNNNNNNNNNNNNNNNNNNNNNNNNNNNNNNNNNNNNNNNNNNNNNNNNNNNNNNNNNNNNNNNNNNNNNNNNNNNNNNNNNNNNNNNNNNNNNNNNNNNNNNNNNNNNNNNNNNNNNNNNNNNNNNNNNNNNNNNNNNNNNNNNNNNNNNNNNNNNNNNNNNNNNNNNNNNNNNNNNNNNNNNNNNNNNNNNNNNNNNNNNNNNNNNNNNNNNNNNNNNNNNNNNNNNNNNNNNNNNNNNNNNNNNNNNNNNNNNNNNNNNNNNNNNNNNNNNNNNNNNNNNNNNNNNNNNNNNNNNNNNNNNNNNNNNNNNNNNNNNNNNNNNNNNNNNNNNNNNNNNNNNNNNNNNNNNNNNNNNNNNNNNNNNNNNNNNNNNNNNNNNNNNNNNNNNNNNNNNNNNNNNNNNNNNNNNNNNNNNNGAUUUGCAUUCAUGGUAGCCUUUUUAGGCACUAUGGUCUUCUCGAGAAGAGAAGAAAAAAUUAAUAUUCGUUUAGCGGGAGUGGUGCAGAUACUGAUUAAGAAAGAUUACACUAUAAUACCAAUGAUCCUAGCUGAUAUUUACCGUGCUCUGACUGUUUGUCAGAAGGAAAAAAGUUUUUUCAAGGGAUGUAAUAUCUUGUUACAGAUGUAGAUUGUGGAGUAUCUUUAUCAACGUCCUACGUUGACAAGGUUCGAUCUUGAGCGAUUUAAUCGCAUCAACGAUUACGAGGAAAGGAUGGAGAAAUAUAAAUGUCCAAAAGAAAUUGGAGAUUGGGUUAAGCUUUUUCGUUUUUUGACAGCAGAUAAAAUCACUUGGAAUCUCCAUUGGUUCCCUUGGAGUCAAGUCAUACAUAGUUCUGUCAUUUGUCCGUUCUUGUUAUUAAUGGGUAUUAGAGGGGUUCAACCGUAUAUUCCAUUGAGGGUUCUACAUCAGCUAGGCAGGCGUCAAAUAAUUCCCAUAACGGAAAACAUGACUGAGUUUGUAUUUAAGGUCAGACCAGAGAUUUCACUUCCAUAAGAUUUGGCCCAGCAGAUUUGGGAGGGUUGCCGUAUCAUGGGGAUUGAAACGAUGGUCAUAGAGCGUGAGAAAGAAGAAGUGCACCCAGAUUACUGUGAAUGGUUUGAAGAACAGUCGAGUCUGCCAGUCAGGCCAGAAAGAUCGGUUAGGGGACCUAUAGAUCAGAAAAAUGCAAUCAGGAUAGGAAUUGAGAGAGCCAUGCGAGAACAUCAUGAGGCCAACCAAGCUUUGAGAGCAGAAUUAGAGCAUGCCAGGGCAAAAAUAGACGAACAACAAAGGGAAUUUGCGGAAGAGAAAGCUAAGUCAGAAAAUAUUGAGGUUGCACUUCGGGGACAAAUCAAGCUGCUACCACUAGGGGGUCACACGUUGUAGAACUUGCCGCAUCUCUCCGACAACAACUUCAAGAAGUUGAAAAGAAUAUGCAAAAAGAAUUUGAUCGAGAGAAAUCUCAGUGGAUUCGUGAAAAAGGAAUAUUGCGAGAACAGUUGGAGGUUAUUUCUGCUCGUGAACAGCGUGCAAGAGAGAUGGUUGAUUUUCGAGAUCGACAGGCCCAGGAAUGGGAUCAGGCUUUCAGUUCCCUUCGAGGGAAGGUCCACAGUGUAGCUCAAGAUACUGCCAGAAUGGGUUUGGAUUAUCAGUAGUUGUAUCGUGAGGACUUUUUGGCACAAGUACCAGCUUUUGCACAGCGUCUCACUACUUCAUUGGAGGACAUGUAUUUGAGUUUGGGAGGACAUAUUAACCGAAGUCUCCUUGAAGGGAUAUUUGUUUUCCUUGUCAUAAUUUUUCAUUUUUUUUUAGUUUUAAAACUUCUUGUUUAGAUAUUAUGUCUUUUAGUUUUCACAUGUCAGUUAGUAGGUUUUAUUUUAUGAGUUGGGUCAGUUAUUUUGUCGUAUUUAUAUUAUAGAAUGUAAUGAAGUUGACUGUUUAUUUCUAUAUUUAUUACAUAUGUUUUACUUCACUUACUUUAAAUAUUUUAUUCAAUAAAAAAAAGACAAAAUAAUUUUGCUAAAUUCCUCCCGAACUACGCAGGAUCUGAUUCAUAUCCUGGCAUGAUACGUAGGCAACUCUCCAAAGGGUUCGAUCAUAACUUUUGAAAAUAUGCCUAGAAAAGCCGGGAUGAAACACAAAGCUUCCAUGAUAGGUUGGAAAAUGCAUAUAGAAGCAUGACAUAUAAUGUGGCAUUAUAAUGUGUUAAAUAUAUAACACUCACCCGUUUGCUACUUGGUAACAGAAAGAUAAAGUAAUUGGUGGUUGGUUUGUGGUUAAACUGGCAUCAAAUCCGUAUAACACCAGAUACAAGGGUAAAAGAAGAAUGACCGACGGAGAGGGUAUAGGGUCUGACAGUGAAGAAGAGCAGAAUCAGUUGAUUUCGUAGGAAAUAACAUCAAUGGAAGAAAUAAAGUCAUUAAAACAACAGAUUACAGAGAUAUACCAAGCUUGGUUGAAUGGACAAGCUCUGCCUUCUUCAAUCCCUGGACUUUCAACUUCAACUGAUCCAAAUUCUGACCCAGCUCAAACUAGUGAUCCAUUUUACCCACCAGGAUUUGGCCCAUUUUCUAAUAUGUCUGGAGUUGCUGGUACUUCUACCAUGCGCCCACCAAAUCUAUCUGUCGCAAAUAACCCACUUUUCACUUCUGUAGCGCCAGCUAUUGCGGGUACUCAACCGAUAGUAUCGAAGAAUAUGGGAAAACCAAAUCAUGAUAUGUUAUAUCCUCCUAAAAUGACUUUCAAGUCCUAAAAUCCACCUUAUCAUGUUCAUCAACACGAUACACCUAUCAUGAUUGAGAAUAUUGCUAAGAAAAAGGAGCAUGAGGAGAUGGCUAGAAAAGUUAGAAGCUUGGAACAAAGUAUGAGAAAUAUGCAAGGAUUAGGUGGACCAAAAAGUGUUUCAUACAAGGAUUUAUGUAAGUUUCUUGAUGUCCAUUUGCCGAUAGGGUUCAAAAUGCCAAAAUUUGAUAAAUAUGAAUGACACAGCGAUCCUGUAGCUCAUUUGAAAAAGUUUUGCAAUCAAUUAAGGGGAGCAGGAGGAAAAGAAGAAUUAUUGAGGGCUUACUUUGGAGCAAGCCUUACAGGGAUAGCUUCUAAAUGGUUCUGUAACACCCCGUAUUCAAGUACAUAUAUUGGCGUAUUCAAGUAGGUGUAUUGGUCUUAUUUAUAUGGAAUUAAUUUUAUUUUAUUUUCUUUAUACCGGAAUUUGCCCAUCGAUGGUUCCAUACGAAGGUUAUUGAAUAAGCUUUCCAACGAUAUAAAGAUUUCCAAAAAUGGAUAGGUUUCGGAGAUAAUCGAGCACAUUCGAAACUAUAAAACGGUGGCCGGGAUAUUGGGAAUAGUAAAUGUGCAGGAAAAUUUCUUGCACACAAACUACUGAGGCCAGCCAUUUUUUUGGGUCAACUUUGAACUAUCAUAACUCCCUUAAUAGAAUUAACUCGGAGAGCUGCCACCUAUGAAAAGAAAGAUCUUUGAGUCUUCUUCCAAUGCAAUUGGUUUCAUCCAAAUCCGACAUCUGAGUAAUGAGUUAUACUCGUUUACUUUAGCCUCUCAAAAUAGAUUUUUAGGGUCAACUUCAAACGAUCAUAACUUCUUGUACAGGACGAACUGGGUGGCUACUUUAUAUUAAAUGAAAGCCCUUUGAAUUAUCUUUCCAAACAUACCAAUUUCACCCAAAUCCGAUAUCGGAGCAAGGAGUUAUGGUCGAUUUACUUUAGCCUAUCAAAACAGUCCACCAUGGACAGAUUCGGAUUUACUUAAAUUUUAAGGGCAAUAUGGUCAUUUUCCAUCACCUCAUGGACGAAAAUUGGUCAUUAUAUACAUAUACUUAGCCUCAUAUCCAUCAUUUAUCAUCCAAAUUAUUGAAGAAUAAGAAACCCUAGCCUAAGUUCAACUCCAAUUAUCUUGUGAUUCAACCGUAGAAAAUCCAAAUUGAUUCCGUAGUUGUGUUCACCGUCUCGAGGGCUUCGAGAAGCACCCCUUAUUUGUGCCAACAGGACUUCGAAAUCAAAAGGGCCAUUUUAUGGUAAGGAUGUAAAUUAUGUUGGUGUUAUUUAUAUGGAUAUGUAUAUAUAUAUAUAUGCAUGUGAGCAUAAGAAGUAUGUUAUUUGAUUGUUGUUGAAAGAUGAUUGGAAAUGAUGUUGGAUUAUUCUUGUGCAUAAUUGGAUUAUGUUGAAUUGUGAAGGGAUUUGGUGUGAUGAUGUGGUAUUGAAAUGAUGAUUAUAUAUAUACACACACAUAAACCUAUUGUUCAAGUUGAUUUUUGGAAUGUUUUGCAAAUAUUGGUAGUAUGGAAUUAUGGAAGAGAAUUGUGGUGUUGGGUUGCUAAUACUAGAUGCCAAACAUUUCAUUGUAGAUAAGUGAUUUGUAAAGGCGGGAAGUUGUGUUGAAUUGGUAUCCGAAUCUACAACGAGGUAUGUAAAGCAUACUCUAACAAUGUUCUUUGGCAUGAAAACACCAAUGUUCCAUCAAGUAAGAUUCCGAGGUUGUCCAAAAACAUGUAUUGUUCUACAUUACCAACGAAGUUGUUUCCAUUCUAUAAAGUGUCAAAAUGUUUCAUUGAUAUACCAAAAGGCUCCUAUUUCAUUGUUGUGAUAUUGAUGAUUCUGAAACACAUUGUUGAUGUACCAAUGAGUCUUUAUUACAUCGUUAUUGUAUAGAAGGUCUAUUACUUGGUUCCUAUUGAUGUAUCAUUGUUUCAAAGUAUCAAAAAUGUGGUGGCGACCGAAAUAACAAUCUCAAAGAUUAAUUGAACUAAGUGAUGGAAGUUCUCUCUUAUCGGGUGGUAUCCCAGGGGCAUAAGCCUAGCAUGGGUCGAUCCCUAUUUAUGUGUUUAUGGGUGGUAUCCCAGGGGCAUAAGCCUAGCAUGGGUCGAUCCCAGUUGAUAUGUACUGGAGGCAGCCUAAUGGUCACAGUACAGUACAGUAAUGAUUACAAAGACGAUAAGAACGAAGGUAAAGUGAUUGAAUAAAUACAAUGUACAGGUUGUCACAAGUUCUAGUAAGUGUGGUCCACUCCUAUUACGACUUAUUCACUUGUUUCUGAUUUCUAUUGAGCUCCUAUAUCAUAUGUGAUUAUUUACAGCUUUACAUACUCAGUACAUAUUUCGUACUGACGUCCCUCACGGGGGACCUGCAUACUUGUGUCUGAUUUUCUUGAUCCCCCAUACCACAUAUGAUUAUUUACAGCUUUACAUACUCAGUACAUAUUUCGUACUGACGUCCCUCACGGGGGACCUGCAUUUCAUGCUGCAGGCACAGGUGCUUCAGCUCCUUCACAGCAUAAAUAGGAGCCAGGUCAUAUAGCUAUUGUUGGUGAGCUCCAGUUUACUUCGGAGCUUUUCAAGUCGGUCCCUUAUGUUUUGUUAUUGUACAGGAGUCAUGUGUGGGCGGGGGUUUGUCCCGACCCUAGUUAUGUCAUGUAUAUCCUAGAGGCUUUGUAGACCAAGGGUAAAGUCAUGGAAGUUUAUAUAGUGAUGUUAUAUUUGUAUAUGUGGUGGCCCCGAUGGCCAAGUAUUAUAUAUAUUUAUAUUUGUGCGUGUUGUGCUGAUACAGGUAAUUAGACCCUUCUAUAUGCAACGAAGUGCUGUCCAAAUUUUUGGUGACAUGUAAGUGAAAGUACAGGUAUUUGAACGGGUUCUCCCGGGCCUUCUCGGCUUCGGGUGCCAGUCCGGCCCGAUGGAAUUUUGGGGCGUGACAGGUUCAUCGAUCAAGACAUUCCCGUUGGUACGUAUGGGAUGAAAUGGCUCGAGAUUUCGUUCAACAAUUUUAAUAUAACAUUGAGAUAGUGCUAGAUCGCACUACGCUUGCCAACAUGAGAAAAAAGAUGACCAAAAUUUUCCGAGAGUAUGUCGUCAGAUGGAGAGAGCAGGCUUCAUGAGUCAGACCAUCGAUAAAAGAAUCUAAAAUGAUUGAUAUUUUUAUGUAAGCACAAGAACCUGAUUAUUUCCAUCAUUUGCUAUCUACUAUCGGAAACACAUUUCCCAAAGUUAUCAAAAUUGGAGAGAUGGUAGAAAACAGAAUCAAGUCAGGAAAGAUCAUCAGCCAGGCCGCUUUGAAAGCAACAACACAGGCAAUUCAAAGUGGUGCAGAAAGUUUUGGGGGAAAGAAAAGAAAAGAAAAGAGGAUGUAGCAACUGUUGUGAUAGGUCCACGACAAAAUUGGAGAGGUGCGCGUCAACCAUACGCACAGAAUCCAUUAUAUUUCAUUCCAUCACCCCAAUUGUCUAUUUACAAUGCACAACUAUAUGCUCGGGCUCCUUCUUACCCGCAUGGCGUGCACCAGUAAUCCAAAAUCAAUUAAUGGCCCCGCAAGUUCAAAGAGGCCCUCCGAGGUCUAAUUUUUGGCCUAGAGCAGAAUUCAAAAGGGAUAACAUGGUAAAAGAUAAUUUCACUCCUAUUGGAAUAUCUUACACCAGUUUAUUUCAUAGGCUGAGAAAAAUAAAUGUUCUAAACCCAAUUGAGCGAAGAAUCUCGAAUCCUCCUUCGAAGAACUUGGACUAUUCAAAAAGAUGUGAAUACUGUUCUGAUGCACCAGUGCACGACACAGAGAAAUUUUGGUAUCUGAAAAAAGCCAUUCAAGAUUUGACUAAUACCCAAUAGAUUAUGGUAGAAAGUCCAGAUGCUUUAAAUGUCAAUCAAAAUCCGCUGCCAGAUCAUAAUGAAACAAACAUGCUCGAAGUGAUACUCAGUGGUGAAGAUGCUACGAUAUCCUUUAAACCGAUUAUUAAAAUUAAAACUGAUUUGGAAAAAUCAACAAAUGCUUUGGAUUUGACAAAGGAAAAGCCUGCAGAAACGAAGGUGGUGAUAGCAAAACCUGAAUCAUCAAAAGCUCCCUUGGUGAUGGGGAAAGAGAUUUCAAAAAAUAUUGGGUCAAGUCAAAUAAAGCCGAAAUUCAUUAUUCCCAGAAGAUCCAAUAAGCCUCUUUUAAUCAUAAAAGGAGCUCCCAAAGCUACUGUUGUUAUUAAACCAGUGUCAUAGCUGCCUAUGGUUGAUACCAAGAAUGUCCCUUGGAAUUAUGAUCGUGUUGUGGUGAUGCACAAAGAGAAAGAAGUGACUGAAGAUGUACAUGAAGUAAGAAGUGACUGAAGAUGUACAUGAAGUAGGAGGAUUAACUCUAUUUGAAAGAUGUUAUGAUCCACUAGAGUUAAGAAAGAAUAAACAUUGUGGUGAAGAAUGGAUGAUAGUUAAGAAGACUGUCACUGAUGAAGAAGCUGAAGAAUUCUGAAAGAAAAUAAAAUUGCCAGAAUAUCCUAUUGUGGAACAGUUGAAGAAGAUACCAGCACAGAUUUCUUUGUUGUCUUUAUUAAUACAUUCAGAGGAACACCGCAAGACUAUAAUGAAGAUUCUUAAGGAAACAUGUGUUCCCAAUGAGAUUAGAGUGAAUCAGAUGAAAAAAGUUGUUGGAAGAAUCCUUGAAGAAAAUAAAACUACUUUCUCAGACGAUGAAUUGCCUAUGGAAGGUACUGAGCAUAACAAAGGUCUGUACAUUUCUGUGAAAUAUGAGAAUUUUAUCGUCACUCGAGUGUUAAUUGAUGGAGGAUCAGGCGCUAACUUUUGUCCUAUGUUAACUUUGCAAAAUUUGAAUGUUAAUGUGGAGAGAAUUCGACCUAACAAUAUAUGCAUCAAGGGUUUUGACGGAUCAAAAAUUAAUGCCCUUGGUGAAAUAGAACUCAUAUUUACAAUCGGGCCUGUGGAUUUUGCUAUGGAUUUUUAAGUGCUGAAUAUUGAUGCUUCAUAUAAUAUGUUAUUGGGAAAGCCAUGGAUUCAUAGGGCUAAAGCAGUCGCAUCAACGUUGCAUCAAAUGGUCAAAUUCGAAUGUGACAGGCAAGAGACAGUUGUUCAUGGUGAAGGAGACUUAUUAAUGUAUAACGACUACUUUGUUUCUUCCAUUGAAACAGAUACUGCCAAUGUGUUAAUUCAUCAAGCUUCUGAGGUAGUGGCUGUUGAGCAUAUCCUCGAGGGGAAUCUCAUCGCAAGACCACAUUGUCCUCUGCAUCUAUUAUGGUAGUGAAUAAAAUGUUGAAGCAUGGUUUCGAACCAGGAAAAGGUCUAGGGAUGUUUUUGCAAGGCAUAGUUCAUUCGGUAAACCUUUAUGAGAACUUUGGUACUUUUGGUUUGGGAUACGAGCCUACUGCUAAAGAUAUAAAGAAGGCUAAGAAGCGUAAGAAAGAGUCAUGGUCACUUACCAAGCCGAUACCGCCACUUCACGAGUCUUUUAUCAAAUUUAGUGAUGUCGGAUCCUCCAAGUUACCUGCUGCAGAAUCAAUGAAUGAUGAUGAUACAGAGUUAAUUGACCUUUUUCAGAAUAUGUUCAUUGAAGCUGAUAUGGUUGAAAUAGGGAAAGGUACCAAUAAUGCAGAUGUGCAGUUUGUCGGCCCUGAUGUCCAGCUUAAUAAUUAGGAGGCCAUUCCUCUUCCUAUUUUGAAGGAGUCUUGUUCUUUCUAUGCCGAUUCUAAUGAUAUGACAUGCAUGAAGAAUUGUCAACCAUAUUUAAAAACCCAAUCUAAUUAUGAAAAAAUGAAUCAAGAAAUUGAAUACGAUGAAGGAGAAGCAUUUGAGGAUAUAAGCAAAAUUUUUAAAUAGUUCGAGAAUAAGACAAAUCUCAAUUUGGAAGAAACUGAGGCGAUCAAUUUAGGAGAUCAUGAAAAUAUUAGGGAGACUAAGAUAAGUAUACAUGCUUAACCGCAACAAAAGAAAGCUAUAAUCGAAGCUUUGCAUGAGUAUAAAGACAUCUUUGCAUGGUCUUAUGAUGAUAUGCCUGGUCUGAGCACUGAUUUAGUAGUUCACAAAUUGCCGAUUGAUCCUGCUUUUCCUCCAGUCAAGCAAAAGCUAAGAAAGCUCAAAACUGACAUGAGUGUAAAAAUCAAAGAGGAAAUCAUGAAGCAACUCAAGGCUAAAGUCAUUCGAGUGGCCCAAUAUCUUACUUGGUUGGCAAAUAUUGUCUCUGUUCCAAAAAAGGAUGGCAAAGUUCGGAUGUGUGUUGAUUAUCGUAAUUUAAAUAAAGCAAGUUUGAAAGAUAAUUUUCCACUUCCCAAUAUUCAUAAUUGUUGGACAAUUGUGCCAAAAAUCAUAUUUCAUCUUUUGUGGAUUGUUAUGUGGGGUAUCACCAGAUCAUUAUGGAUUCAGAAGAUGCAGAAAAGACAUCAUUUAUUACUCCAUGGGGGACAUAUUAUUAUCGAGUCAUGCCUUUCGGACUAAAGAAUGCUGGGGCAACUUAUAUGAGGGCAAUGACCACAAUGUUUCCUAACUUGAUGCACAAAGAGAUUGAAGUUUAUGUGGACGACGUGAUCAUUAAGUCGAGAGAGCAAUCUGAUCAUGUCAAAGAUUUGAGAAAAUUCUUUGAAAGGCUUCGGAGGUAUGAUCUCAAACUUAACCCAACAAAAUGUGUAUUUGGAGUUCCAUCAGGAAAACUCUUUGGUUUUAUAGUCAGUCGACGGGCAUUGAGUUAGAUCCUUCAAAAAUAAAAGUUAUUUAAGAUCUGCCUCCACCAAAAAAUAAAACAGAGGUGAUGAGCUUACUUGAAAGGUUGAAUUAUAUCAGUAGAUUCAUUGCCCAGCUUACAACAGCCUGCGAGCCAAUAUUUAAGUUGUUGAAGAAGAAUGUUAAAGUUGAAUGGACUGAAGAAUGUCAAGAGGCAUUUGACAGAAUUAAGAGACACUUGUCGAAUCUGCCUAUUUUGGUUCCUUCAGAGUCAGGCAAACCUUUAAUAUUGUACAUAUCUGUUUUAGAUAAUUCUUUUGGAUGUGUAUUGGGUCAACAUGAUGUUACAGAUAGAAAAGAACAAGCCAUCUACUACCUCAGCAAAAAUUUUACCACUUAUGAGGCUAAGUACACUUUUCUUGAGAAGACGUGCUGCGCUUUAACUUGGGUAGACCAAAAACUGAAAUAUUACUUGUCAUCUUAUACUACUUACCUCAUCUCUCGUAAGGGUUCUUUAAAGUACAUUUUUUAGAAGCCUAUUCCCACAGGCAGACUCGCGAAAUGGCAGAUGUUGCUCACAGAGUUUGAUAUUAUUUAUAUGACACAAACUGCAAUGAAAGCUCAAGCCUUAGCAGAUCAUUUGGCUGAAAAUUCUAUUGUUGAGGAAUAUGAGCCAUUGAAGACUUAUUUUCCAGAUGGAGAGGUAUUGCAUUUUGAUGAGUUUGUUUCUGACGAUUGCUAUUCGGGCUGGAAGUUGUUCUUUGAUGGAGCUGUUAAUAUAAAAAAAGUGGGGAUAAGAGCNNNNNNNNNNNNNNNNNNNNNNNNNNNUUAUUUCUGAAUCAGGACAAUAUUAUCCUAUAACAGCCCAACUUCGAUUCUACUGUACCAAUAAUAUGGCAGAAUAUGAAGCUUGCAUCCUGGUAUUGAGAUUAGCUAUUGAUAUGGGGGUCCAAGAAUUGUUGGUAUUAGGAGAUUCAGAUUUAUUAGUCCACCAAAUCCAAGGAGAUUGGGAGACUCGUGAUUGGAAACUCCUACCAUAUAGAAGUUGUUUGCAAGAUCUUUGUCAACGAUUUGUAUUAGUAAAGUUCAAACACAUUCCCAAAGCUCAUAAUGAGAUUGCUGAUGCUUUGGCAACCUUAUCUUCGAUGCUUCAGCAUCCCAAUAAAACUUAUAUUGAUCCUUUGCUUAUACAGAUUCAUGAUCAACAUGCAUAUUGCAAUGUGGUCGAAGAAGAACUUGAUGGGGAGCCGUGGUUCUAUGAUAUCAAAAAAUAUAUUCAGACUAAAAAAUAUCCUAUACAUGCUGAUGGUAAUCAAAAGAGAACCAUUCGACGUUUGUCUAGCGGAUUUUUCUUAAGUGGAGGAAUCUUGUAUAAGAGGACUCCUGAUUUGGGACUUCUGAGGUGUGUAGAUGCUAAAGAAACUUAAAAAAUAAUGACUGAAGUACAUUCUGGGAUUUGUGGACCACACAUGAGUGGGUAUGUUUUAGCAAUGAAAAUACUCCGAGCAGGAUAUUAUUGGCUCACCAUAGAGCGAGAUUCCAUUAAUUUUGUUCGUAAAUGUCAUGAAUUCCAGGUACAUUGAGACUUAAUACAUUUCCCUCCAUCUGAGUUGCAUACAAUGACUGCUCCAUGGCCUUUUGUGGCUUGGGGAAUGGAUGUAAUUGGGCCAAUUGAACCAAAGGCCUCGAAUAGACAUAGGUUCAUCUUAGUAGCCAUUGAUUAUUUCACGAAGUGGGUGGAAGCAGCGACUUUCAAGUCAGUGACCAAAAAAGUAGUGGUUGAUUUUAUUCACUCCAACAUCAUUUGUCGGGUUGGCCUUCCAAAGAUAUGUCACGGAUAAUGCUGUGAAUCUCAAUAGCCAUCUGAUGCAAGAAGUGUGCCAGCAAUUUAAGAUUAUGCAUCGAAAUUCAACUCCUUAUCGUCCAAAGGCAAAUAGAGCUGUAGAAGCUGCCAACAAGAACUUAAAGAAAAUACUCCAUAAGAUGGUGCAGGGUUUCCGACAACGGCAUGAAAAGUUACCUUUUGCUUUGUUGGGUUAUCGUACUACUGUUCGGACUUCAAUUGGUGCAACUCCUUACUUGUUAGUGUAUGGAACUGAAGUAUUUAUACCUGGAGAGAUUGAAAUUCCAUAUCUUCGAUUAGUUGUAGAAGCAGAAAUUGAUGAGGACCAAUGGGUCAAGACUCGUUUAGAGCAAUUAAGCUUAAUAGAUGAAAAAAGAUUGACGUCAGUAUGUCAUUGACAAUUGUACCAGAAGAGAAUGACACGAGCAUAUAACAAAAAGGUGCGUCACAGACAUUUUGAAGUUGGUCAAUUGGUACUAAGACGCAUCCUACCUCAUCAGAUUGAAGCCAAAGGCAAAUUUUCUCCUAAUUGGCAUGGACCAUUCAUGGUGAAGAAAGUGUUACCUAAUGGCGCGUUAUAUUUGACUGAUAUAGAAGGCAAAAUGGAAGGAAUGUCAGUCAAUGCUGAUGCAGUUAAAAGAUAUUAUGUAUGAUAUUCAUGUACAAUUAUGUUAUGUAUGUUUUGUACUUACAUUUUUAAAGAUUUGAAAUGAUGAAGGCAUUUUGCUCUACUAUCCGAAUAAUAUAUCAACCUUUGCUUACCCCUUUGAGCUUUUAUUUUUUCAUAUCCCUUUUUUGGAAUCAAAUUAAAGUCAGAAAAUUGAAAAAAAAAAUUAAAAAAAAAAAAAGAAAUCAAUCAAAAAUUAAAAUCAAACAAGAAAAUGAUGUUUCCUGAACUACGUUUGACCUGAUUCUUGUUAUGAUAAGAUACGUAGGCAGACCUACUCCGGGUUCGGUCUAACCAAAAGAAAAUUCAAAUUACCGAGAAUGAGAUAAAACUGGGGCAAAAAGUUUAUUUCCUUAAUAAGAGUCGAUUCCAAAAGUUGUAUGUUUCACCCAAUGUUAUAUAAAUUUUUGAGCCUCAUGCUGAACUUUCUAUCUAACCCCUAUCCAAAAGCCAAGUUACAACCAAAGAAAGCCCUUAAGAUUAAUCUUUGAGAAUGUCAAGGCUAAACAUGUUAUGAGUGCAUGAUAUUUUAUAUUUUGGGUGUUUAUUUAAAAAAGAAUUUAAAAAAAAAAUUAAAAUGAGAGUCUUAUUGGUGAAAACCCUUUUGGGCACCAUAAGACGACUGUGAGCUGAGACAGAAAUGAAAAGGAUAUAGGCUCGUUGGCAAAAACCCAUUGAGGUGCCACUAGCCGAAGAAAGGUUGUUAUCAAGAAAGAACAAGUUCAAGAUUGACUUAAUUUCAAGCUCAAUAAGUGGACAAAAGUUGUAAUGAUUGGUGUGGGUAGAUCUNNNNNNNNNNNNNNNNNNNNNNNNNNNNNNNNNNNNNNNNNNNNNNNNNNNNNNNNNNNNNNNNNNNNNNNNNNNNNNNNNNNNNNNNNNNNNNCAAAAGGUCGAUGCACAGAGACAACGUUUCAAAGUAAAAGUAAGAUACUCAAGAUGAUUGUGAUUUGACCAUUUUAAACUCGUGAAAAUCUAAGGGAUGUAUUGGAAGUUAAACUCAGAAGCAUCAUACAAUAGAAACAUGAUUUGAGUUGAGGAUCUCAGUAGUCAGAAUUUUGAGUCAGAAGUACGUCAAUUCAAUGAAUAUUAUCAUGGUUUAGAGAAUAAUUAAGCAUGGCAAGUGCGAGAGCGACUACUUCAAAAGCCAAAUGCCAUAAACCAACCACCACAUGUUUUAAAACUCACAAUUUUUCUUUGUUUGGAACAAAGAUGAAAUAAUUAUUUUCAAAUAAAAGAUGCGAUUUCACACUUCACUCAAUCUAAGAAGCAUGGUUACAAUAUCCGGUGCUGGAUCUCGGUCAUCGUAAACUUUAUUCUUUGCGAGAUAUAUUGAGAUCCAGUGACACAUAAAUUUUUCUAGUACAAACUGGGGCAAAAAUUUUAUGUGUGUUGUAUGAAAUUUAUUUUUUGCUCAGGACCCUCCUGAAGAAUGGGAAUGUAUUUUUGCUCAGGACCCUCCUGAAGAAUGGGAAUUUACUUUUUGAUUAGGACCCUCUAGAAGAAUGGGAUGUUAUUUUUCUGUUUCACCUGUUAUUUUGAGUACAACAACAUAUUUGAAAAUCAAAAAUUGCAAGUCCAGGAGCCCGCCUGAAGAACAGGGUGAAGAAAUUGUAAAUCCAGGAGCCCGCCUGAAGAACAGGGUGAAGAAGUUGGGAGUGAAGAACGAGAUAAAGAAAUUGGAAGUCAGGAGCCCACCUGAAGAACAGGGUGAAGAAAUAGCAAGUCCAGGAGCCCGCCUGAAGAAUAGGGUGAAGAAAUUGGAAGUCAGGAGUACGACUGAAGAACAGGGUGAAGAAAUAGCAAGUCCAGGAGCCCGCCUGAAGAACAGGGUGAAGAAAUUGGAAGUUAGGAGCCUGCCUGAAGAACAGGGUGAAGAAAUUGCAAAUCCAAGAGCCCGUCUGAAGAACAGGGUGAAGAAAUUAGAAGUCAGGAGCCCACUUGAAGAACAGGGUGAAGAAAUUGGAAGUCAGGAGCCCUCCUGAAGAACAGGGUGAAAAAAUAACAAGUCAGAGAUCAGUUUGAAGAAUAGGAUAAAUUUUCAAGUUCCAAGCAUGAAGAUUUGGAUCGAGGUUCUAGAGAUUGUAAUUUUUAUUUCAUUUUUUUAAUUUUUCUUAGUCAUUUGAAUGCAAAAGGUAGAAGUUGUUAACCGGAAUCUUGACGAAAUCUCACUCGACUCUAACUUUUUCUCUCACCAAAUUACCUUUGAACUACUCGUGACCUGAUUCCCUUAUAACCCGGGAUAAGUAGGACGUCCAGAAAUAGGACUCAGUCACAUUUUUUCUUUUAUUUUUAUCUUUACCUUCCAAAUAAUUGGAGGUUCAAAAAUCAUAUCUUGUCUAGUUCUUUGUAUGAAAACUCUUCGAGAUUUCACACAAAGAGGGGCAAAAAUGUAGACACGUGAUUUUUGAUCCUCCUCAAAUUUUAACUUAUUUUUAUAUUAAAUAUUUAUAUUUGGCAUAAUAUUAUUUAAUUUCUUAUUUUAUUUUUAUAAAAUUUUAGUUAAAAAAUUAAUAAUAAAAUAAAUUUAAUUUUUGAGAUAUUUUAUUUUUAUUUUUAUUUUUUUUAUGUUAAUUUUUUUAAAAAUAUAAUAUAUAUAUAUUAUUCAUUCUAAAUUUUAAUAAAUAAAUUAGUAGUUUAAUACUAUUUUAUUAUAUUUAUUUUUGUCUAUUUACAAUUCUUAUUAUGUUUUGUUAAAUAUAAAAUUAACAAUUAUUUUAUUUAUUAUUUAUUAUUAUUAGUAUAUUUAUUUAUUAUUAUUAUUAUUUUCUAUUUUAAAAAAUAAUAAUUAAUUAAUUAAUUUAAAUUUUAAAUAUUCCCUCCCCUUAUCUGUUGAUGAAGGAUUUCCCUAAAAAACAACCGUUUCCCCCAAAAUUUCCUCUACAAAUAAAAAAUAACCGUUUCCCCUAAAAUUCCUUCUACAAAAGGGACUCUCUCACCCCCGGAAUAACAUAAAAGAUUCAUCAUUAGACAGAAAGAAAACCAAAGAGUAAAAAGAAGUCAGAGAGAAAAACCCCAAAAAAAUAAGAGAGGAUUCUACGUACUUCAUCAUCCAUAAUAUCAGAAUAAGUUUAAAAAAAAAAAGAAGAGAAAGUGUGAAGUGAAAAUUGAGAUUGUGUUCAAGUUUCUGGUUGAUGAUUAUAUCUUGCUUCAAUACUCUGUUCGAAUCAAUUACAGGUUUUUAUUCGAAUCUAAAUCAUUUAUAUAUAAAUUUCAUUGUGUAAAAGUAUAAAUAAAAAUGUUCAAAUAAUUUUCUGCAUUUUUAAUAUAUGUAAUUGAAUAAUUGAUAAAUUUUUAUCAUUAUAUGUUAUGUAAUUAUGAUACUGAAUAUAUCUGUACACACGUAUAAACAGAGAAGGAGAAUUUUUCAUUUCAUUAGCAACAUACACAACACACACUAACACAUUACAGUAAUUAGAAAUGCAAAUAGUUUGAAACCAAUAAAAAAUAAUAAUAAAACAGAGAGAAGGUUGUUUCGCUUUCCAGCUAAAUUUCGCUGGAAAACUAUCGGCAAACACCAUAUAUGCGCCGACCACCCCCUUUCUUCUCCUUUUCCAUUUCCCCGGCAACCAAACAUAUCCAUCCCGUCGCCGAAAAACCGAUCAGCCACGCCCCACUCCCCUUCCCCUUUCCCUUUUCCCAGCGAUACUACCAGAUCUGGAUGGCGCCGCUCCCAUUUCCCCUCUCCCUGUCGCCGCUGUCUCCAUCUCCGUUUUCCCCGCCGUCGUCCCCUUUCCCGUCCCUAUUUACCGAUGUAACCCAAAACUGGCGUAAUUCCACCAGUAACCACCCCUGAACCGGCGGAAAACCACUAGAUCUGCUGGUGACUCGUCGAUCUCCUUCCUUCUCCCUUGUCCAGCGAUCCCCAUUGCUGCUAUAAAUGUUGUAAAAAUAAAAAUUGAAAUACUGAAUGUAUGUGAAGAGAAGAUUUCUUUAUAUUUCUUUUAUUGUUGUUUCCUUUUAGGAUAAAUACCCAUGUCCCUAUGUUAGUGUAUAAUAUAAAAUUAUUUCAUUUAAUAAUUAGUAAAAAAUAAAGUAUGAAUAAAUUUGAUACUAAUAAAAUUUAUUAUUUAUUUCGAGAAUUUUCGUGUAUGAUUUAUCUUAUAAUAUAUAAUUUGAGUUUAUUUAAUUUAAAAAGAUUAUUUUCACGAAAAAUUAUUAUUAUAAUAUAUGUAGAUUUGCAUAUUUUAUUAUUUUAUUAACAGAAUUUAAUAAUUAUUUAUUAAUUUAAUUAAUUAUGUUAAAUGAAUUUUGCUUUAAUUUAUUAUUAAAGGUUUAGAAAAAUUUUAGACACCCUUUAAAUAUUUGUUCCAAUUAAGAAUGCGGCAUACACAUCUUUCCGAGACAUUUUAAAGAUUCAAGGAUGCAAUAAUGCACCUUGACAAAUAACUUUUUUUUAAAAAAAAAUAAUUUUUCCCGAUUUAUUUGAUAUCAAAGGUGUAGAUAGACAUUUUCAGUAUAAUAAAAAUGAGCGGAUUUAGACUUUAACAUAAUUUAUCAAACUAGUUUAAAUCAAGAUAAGUCAAUAAAAGCGAUCGUGCUAGAACCACGGGACUCGAGGGGUGCCUAACACGUUCCCUUCAGUCAAUAGAAUUCCUUACCCGGUCUUCUGUUUUCGCAGACCAUAUUAAAGAGUCAUUUCCUUUUGAUUAGGGAUUCAAAAAGGUGACUUAGAACACCAAAACUCAAUUUCAAGUGGCGACUCUGUAAUUAAAAUAAUUUCUAUUCAAUAUCGUCACUUUAAUUGAAAAAUCCUUCGACCCGAUCUCCUUGAGCGAAAAAGGGGCGUGACACGUACCAAAAGACCCUUGGGUCCCUUGAGAUAAAUGACAAUGCUAGCUCCUAAUAAAUGGCUGAGUUUACCUACCGAUUCACCAUCAUAUAUGAAUUGAAUGCAAAGAUCCCACACCUAUCAAAGUCAAUUGAUACAUUUAUGUUUUGGCCAAUUUUGCCUGGCUGCUACAUACAAGCAAAAUAUCAGAGGGGAUAAAAUUAGACAAAUAUGCAUGUUCUCAUGAUUCAUUCAACAAUGGCUUUUUACUGCUAUCUUGCCACUUAACUAAUCGAUUUUUCGUUUUCUCCACCUGCAAAACAGAAAGGGAGCUAAUUUAACAUGAGAAGGAAAAUAAAAUGAAGCUUAUUUUAACAGAAAACUACUAAACGUUCUAAAGCAUUAAGUUUUUUUUUUUCCUUUCGAUAUUUUGUAUCUACAACCUCGAUUAAUCCAAAUUCAUGUCAUUUUCUUUAGUUUUUACUGUUUCACGGAACUCAAAACGCAAGCCCCCUUUAUAUAUAUCUAUAUAUAUUGGAAUUUUCACCUUUGCUUCCAGCUUUGAUGAAGGUAAAUAGUCGAGAAAGUUCCCCGUUGUCAAAGAGAGAGGGUCCAUAAAAAUGUCAUGCAUAGGGUAUCCUAUUCACACAUCGUUAUUUGACGAGUAAAUACAUAAAGUCCCCCCGAUGUCGGCCUACUUUUUCAAGAAGACACCUAAACUAUACUUCCGACCUAUUACCUCACGAAUCUUACUUAAAUCAUUACAAAUACACCAUUUUUCGCUGAAUUACAGUCACAAGAAAAAAAGUGGAUGCACGCCAAUCAAAUGCUGUCACGUGUUAAAUACAUUUAAUUUUAUAUUUUAUUUAUAUUUUUGAAUAAAACUUUCCUUUUUAUUUUAUUUAUCACCACAUCCCACCCCCCUCUCCCCCCUCCCAUUCCAUCCAGCAUUUAAAUCGUUGUAAAUACAUCAUUUUUCGCUGAAUUCCAGUCAAAUGAAAGAGAGUGAAUGCACGCACCAAUCAGAUGCUGCCACGUGUUAAAUAUAUUUAAUUUUAUAUUUUAUUUAUAUUUUUGAAUAAAAUUUCCCUUUUUAUUUUAUUUAUCACCCCACCCCCUCUCCCCCGUCUAGCUAUUAAUCCAUUAAAACGCCAUCACUUGUUUAUAUUCUAUAUUCAUAUGAAAUUACAUUAGUUGGCAUAAACACCCAAUAUAAGUAAGUUGUAUUUUUGGUAAUUUAUUAGUUGAUUUUCUUGUCUUUAAUGGAGGAAAAGAGAAGUAGUAUAUGCAAGUGUUGAAGAAGACAAUGGUGUUUUGUGUGGGUGGGUGGGGUGUUGUGGGGGCGGGGGGAAGUAUGGGAUAAAAAGUAAAUAUUAUUUUUUUAAAAGUAAAUAAAUAUUGAUUUAAAAAAAAAAGAAGAUAAAAUUAUUUACACGUGGCAGCUUUUAAUUGGUAAAUAAAGUCAAUUUUGAGCCUUUCGAGCACAAUAGGCGCGUGUAUACACGUAGGGUCAAAAUAGUGUAUUUGCAAUGAUUUAAGUAAGAUUCGUAAGAUAAUAGGUCGAAAAUAUAAUUUAAAUGUCUUUUUUAAAAAAUCGGUCAAGAUCAGGGGUACUUUAUGUAUUUACUCUUAUUUAACCUAUAUUCAAUUUUUAAAUUCUUGUGUCUACCUAUUUAGGAAUAACUUCAAUCAUCCGAUGUUUGAAGAAUUUCAUAUGACUGAAGUUCAGUCGCAAUAUUUCAUCAGCCUAAAGUUCGAACAUAAAUGGUUGAACUUCAAGCAAAAAUCUCUAUAUUCAACUACAAUUCCAUGAUAUUUAAUGUCAUGAAAUGAUUAUUCGAGAAUUAACCAAGAGGGAGGAAAACGUACCUCUUCGUUCCAAUUGGUUCUAAAAGUUACCCAUACUAAGAUUACAGUUUGCAUUGCUGUUCCUCCAAACAUACCCAGCCAUAAUCCCUACAAAUUUAAUUUAUCCAAAUUAAUUAAACGAAUUAGUUUUAAUUAUAACAGUAGAAACUAAAAUCUCAAUUGACCUUUAUCCAUUUGACCUCACAUUAAUAUUCCAAAUCAUGCAUUUUACCAAAGUAGCUAGCGAAUAUCGAAUAUCGGAUGAUUGAAAAGUAGUGAUCGAGGAGGGAGGUAAGUAAUAUACCUUAGCUUCGAGUUUGAAGUAAAAUCCAAGAAGAACACCCAAUGGAAUGCCAACAACGUAGUAACAUCCCACGUUAACAUAUGCCACAAAACCUUGCCAUCCACACCCAACAGCCACCCCUUCAAACAUAGGCCAAGCAAAAUUUCCCAUAAAAAUGGUUAAUUUUUAAUUUGUAGCUAUUUUAUUUGCAUUGACAAUUUUUCAGUUUAUAUACUGGUUGGAAAAAGUGGCUAGCCCAUACUAUUUUUACAUACAUCAAAAUAUGCAUUUAUCUCCUCCAAUAUGUUUUCUUCUGAUAAACGGAAAAUUAUAUCAUUGAUAUAUAACAUACAUCAAUGUGGUAUCAAAAGUAACUACUUUCAACUUACAAGGCAAUAAGUGGAUCGACCACCCUUUUGUAACUAAAUAAUUCAUAUACAUUAUAACUUCUUCUUUUUUUUUUCAUACCAAACGGAACAUAUAAAAUUGAAAAGAUCACUUAACAGUCGCUUGGACAUAUAAAAUUUUCCCUUUUAAAGAAAAAAGAAUCCAUAAAACUAUUUAGUUAUACAUUGGACUGGCUUUUUGGCACAAUUUUUUUUUUUUUGUUAAGUGAAAGAUAAUUCUAAAGCCGGGAGCAGAAUUUAAAAUCAGUAUAUUUGUGGUGAUUUCUAAAAAUAAGUAUCUUAAAUUAUUUAUUAUUUUAAAAGUUUAAGACGAAGUUAAAGUAUCAAAAUAUGUCACGUUUUUAAAGUGACACAUAAAUAUGCUUUAACUCACAAAAAUUGUGAGUUAUGCACUUUAACUUUAACGGCGGAACAACAAACGGUGUUAACCUUUUUGAAAAGUGUAUAACUCACAUUUUUUUGUGAGUUAUGCAUUUUGUUUUAACAUAACUCACAAAAAAUGUGAGUUAACCUUUUUGAAAAGUGCAUAACUCAUUUUUUGUGAGUUAUGCAUUUUGUUUUAACAUAACUCACAAAAAAAUGUGAGUGAUCCAUUUUGUUUUAAUCAGGUAUUGAGAAUUGUGUUGGCAUGUUACUCGACAUGAUGCAUUUGAGAGCAUUCAUAUCAAAAAAAGUAUUAUACUAAGUUAAAUGAGCAUUAACAACACUUGUUGGACCAUCAAAUUGCGUAUGCACAUUUGUCUGUAUUGGAGACUGCACAGGACGAUUUUUACGUUCCUUCUUAACAUAAACUUGCAGAAUGUUAAGCUUUAUUUGACUAGCAUAUAGUCACAAGGGACCCUGAGAAAUUCAGUCAACGACUCAUCGGCACUGAUAAUCCAUUCUCCAUAAUUUAUUAUUCUUUGUGAUGAGAAGGAAUUUGAAUACUGUCCGACUAUAAAUAAAUCAAAAUCAUCACUUUUAUUUUCAUUCUUCUAAAAAUGAUUCUACAAAUUCUCUAUAACCAAUUGAAAUUGGAUACUUCGCGAUGGACUUAGGGGGAUAUACUAUAAUAUAUUGUAUUCCCUCGUGAAUAAUUUUUUCAUCCCAAAAAAGGACAACUUUAACACAGAAUUCACUCUUUAAGAUUUGAUAAGAUAAAUUGAGUUUGAACAAACUUGAAAAAGAAGAAUUGAAGUUGAAGAAGUAGAAUUCAAUAUAAAGAAGAAGAAUUUGAAAACAUUAUAUAAAGGAUGAAUGAAUAUAUUUGAUAGAAUUCAAAAAAUGUAUAGCUCACUUUUUUGCGAGUUAGUCAUUUGUUUUAACAUAACUCACAAAAAGAUGAGUUAUAUAACUCACAAAAAAAGUGAGUUAUGUAAACAUAAAUAGCAUGUUAAUAGAAGAUCGGGAAAGGUUUUAUUGUUUAACAUAUAACUCAUAUUUUUUGUGAUUUAUAUUAAAACAAAAUGGAUAACUCACAUUUUUUGUGAGUUAAGCAUAUUUAUGUAUCACUUUAAAAACAUGACAUAAUUUGAUACUUGUUUUUAAAACAUCAUCUAUUUUGGUUCCAUUUUUCACCUUCCAAUUCAAAAAUUCCAACCAAAUCUAUUUCUCACUCUCUUACACUGUCUAGUCCUAAAUAGUGUUUUGAAAAUACAUAGGGUAGGGCCUUCAAUAUAUAUGAUGUUUGUCUUGUUGUCCUUGUCAAAUCAAAUUUCCAAAACCCUGUUUAGCAUAUACUAGCCAAACAAAAGUAUAAUGCAAGUGUCCUGGUAUUAUGCCAAGAACAAUGUUAAAGAUAUUCCAAUUAAUAGUCUAAGAAGCAUUUAACCUAAACGUAUAAAAAUGAAUCUAGUUAUACACAUUCUACAAACAAUUACUUAUAUCAAUUCAGCUAGACUUUCAUGAAAUCCUAAGAUAUAAAAAAGAAGAGCUAAAUCAUGGAUGAUCACUCAAAUUUUUACGUUUUUACACUUAAGUCAUUUAACUAUUUUAUGUAACUAAACAGUCACCCAAUUUAUCUGAAUAUUACAAAAAUCACUAAACUACUUUUUAUAACUUAAAAAUCACUCAGUUCUUCCUAAGCAUUACGUAGACUCAUUAGGCGAUUCAAAAGAGAGGUCAUUUUGGCAACACAAAAAUAUCUACCGUCUUUCUACGAUAAUCAGUCAAACACUCGAGUGAUUUUCUAGUAAUUUCUGUAAUACUUAAAUAAAGUUGAAGUAACUUUAAUUUUACGAAAAAUACUUCAAUGACUCUAAUGCACUAAAAUUAAUUUACAUUGGUAAAUUUAGCCCCCAAAACAGAAAAGGUUAGAUGGAAGAGUACUCACCAGAUAGAACAGGUUGAAUGCCAUUAAGAAUUAUAGAGGCAGCCAAGAGUGGUGCAAGUUCUGAAGAUGCUUUAGCAAUUGUUUCUCCUCCCGUGAAUGCAUAACUCAUCACGUCACGAAGGAUCAUUACUACUAUGGCAAUGACUACAGCAAUCACGAAUGAGCUUAAUGUCACCACCAGUACUGAAAAUGAGGCCGAUUUCGGAUGCCCUGCUCCCAACUCAUUGCUCACCCUCACACUGCGCAAUUUUAAAAUCCGAUUUUAUAAAUUUAACGAGUUCACUUGACCACCCUUGGGACACCACAGAGGAGGAAGAUCGAGGCCUUACUACGUUUUUGAAAGCCUUUACUAACUAACUACACUAUGAAACAGUUUCAAGUGUGCUCAUAAUGAAAUUUGCAAUAACUAAUACUCCUAAGUAUGAGCUGAUCAUAACUUUAUAUAAUGGGUUCAAUGCUAAAACUCUCUAAAGUUGAACUGAUAAAGCAAAAAUCCUAAACCCGCCUCUGAUUAUACAGUAAUUCAUUAAUAGAUUGCUAACCUUGCUGCCGCAUUGAACCCAACAGAUAUCAUGAAUACCCACCCAAGAAUUGUAUUACUGCAAACAAGCUCCAUCAUCAACCCAAGAGGAUCAGGAACAUAAAACACAAAGUUUAACUAAAUUAUAAACAGAUAUUCGCUCACCAAACAGCUAGCGAGUCUAAUGCCACUUCAGGAUUUGGAAGCAAACCAGCAACUAAAACCAAAAUCUGAAAGUACCACGUCUCCAAGCACAACAUCACGGAUGAAGCAGCUGACAACUUAAAAAAAUCCCACAGCCCAGAAAAAGCUUGCGAGGUAAAUCCGUUCCAUGUUUGCUUACACUUAUCGCUCCACAAUAUGUACAUAAAUUGCGCAAUGACUAGUAUCCACCAUGAAAUACUUAGUACCAAGGCUCCUCCGAAUAACCCCCACUUAAAUACAUAAAGCACAAUCCAUGUUAGGAAAAGAUGGAGGACUAAUGUGGCUGCUGCUAUAUACGCGCUAGGAUUUACAAUGCUCUGAGCUUGUAAGAACUUUUGGAUGGGGAAAUUAGCAGCGUAAGCAAAUAUUUGAGGAAUUAGACCGUAGACGAAUAAUGCAGCCGCUGAUGCAACUUUCUCUGAUUCUCCUAAUAAGAUCAAAAUUGGCUUUGAAAAUAAGUAAGCCACCAUGAUCGGUAGUCCAGUUAACAUAAGGAGAAUUGUUGAUCUUUGAAGAUAUAUUCCUAACGUGUCAUACUUGUGAGCUCCAUAUGCCUGCCCACAUAGUGUCUCCACUGCACUCCCCAUCCCUAACUGCUCCAAUAAAGUUGACAAUCAGCACAUAACUUCUACAAGCAUUACGAUUUCAUCAGUAAAACAACUUAUGUGGCACAUUUCAGAUUUCGAGAAUCAAACAAGUUUGACUCACGGCCAUGAUUUUUCCGUAUUGACUUACGGUACUUCUUAAGUAGUUUCAAAGAAGUAAAUUUUAUAUAGAAAACCUUACAAAUUCUAUAUACGAAUUUAUGGUUGAAAUUAAGAGGUUUAACCCUCGGAAUCUAAACAAUAUCACAUAAAUUGGAACAAAGACCAUACGAAACUUGAUCAAUCCAAAAAUGCUCUGCUCAUAUUCCAGAAAAGAAAAACGAUUCAUCAGUUUUGUAGCAAGUCGCACUAGUACCAUGUGAAAUAGAAUAGACAAAUUUAUGACACAUAUCUUAAUAGUGUAGGUGUUAGAAAAAUUACCAUGACGCCAUAAGCCAAGAGUUGGAUACCUUCAUUGCCAAGUGAAGCAGCAGCAAGUUCAAGAUUACCAAGAUGGCCACAGAAUAUUUGGGUAGACAUAGAAGUAACAUUGUUGAGCAAAUAAACAAUGAUUGCUGGAGCUGCUAGGCAAAAGAGAUUCCUAAAUUCUACUACAGAGGCCCGUCCAAGCCGCUGGAAAUGAGAUAAACUUGUGUCAGACAGUAUGUCUUCAAGCUCAGAACUUACAUGUUCCACAGACACCACUGUUGGUUCUUUGGGUUCUAAGAGAGGUUCACUUUGCCCAGUUUCUUGAAAACACUUGUCCAUGUUUUCUCUCUGAGUCGAAGACGAAUCAAAGUAGCUUGCCUGCCAAGUCGAUAGGCCAAGGAUAGAAGGACACCUAUCGUGUGACCUGUUAGUCCUAAGCAAUCUCAAUAGACUCCUAGCCCCAAGCUCAGAUUUGAAAGAACAGAAUGUUGCUGAAUUAUAACCAUACAGACAUUAAAAUAAUUUUACAUUCAAGUCAAAAAGGUACGAGUCAUGGUUGAAAAUAUUUUCUAAAGUAACUAGUUUAUUAUUUUUUGACACGUUGGCUGCUCUGGGAAUGUGACGGAUGACAUAUAUACCAAAUAGGAAUAACGACAAUCAUGCCAUGCUAAUAGUUGCCCCACCUUAAUAUUUUCCCCUUAAUCACUUCAAUUCUAAGUAAUAAAAUUAUUCCAUCAUACUUUUUAAAUUUUAAAAUAUACUAGUUUAGGUGUUCGCGCCUUACGUGUGUAACUUAUUUUAAUGAGUUUAAAUAUUACACUAAAUAAGAUAUUUAUUUAAAUAAUAAAAAUAAAUAUAAUAAUUAAAUUUAAUAACUUUUGAGUAUGUAAAGAUGAAAAAUUUAUUUAUUAAACCUAAUAUUUACCAAAAAAAAUUUUAAAAGUCGAUCGACAUUCAUCUACCAAUUGUAAAUUGCAACAAAAUAAUACAAUGAUAGAGACAUCAAAAUAAUACAACUAAAUCUAAUCUUUACACACGAAAAAAUUCUCAAAAUCGUCUGACACUUAUCUUCGACAUGUAAACAAUAACAAAAUAAUAUGAUAAUAGAGAUAUCAAAAUAAUACAAUUAAAUCUAACAUUUACAUAAGAAAAUUUCUCAAAGCCGACCAAUAUUUAUCUGUCAUCUGUAAAAUGCAACAAAAUAAUACGAUAAAAGUGAUAUCAAAACAAUACAAUUAAACUUAAAUUUUACAUACAAAAAUUUUUCAAAGUCAAUCGAGAUUCAUCUACGAACUGUAAACUACCACAAAAUAACAAACUAAUAGAGAUAUUACGAUAAUACAAUUAAACCUAACUUUUACCUAAAAAAAAUUCAAAGACUACCGACAUUCAUCUAGCAUUUGUAAAUUAAAAUAAUACAAUUAAACCUAACUUUUACACAAGAAAUUCUUCAAAGUCAACCGAUAUUCAUCUACGACCUGUCAACUAUAAAAAAUAAUGUAAUAGUGAUCACAAAACUUCAAUUUUGAUCCAACUACUUUUUUGUCUGAGCGAAAAUUUUGCCCCUAAAGAAUGAUUUUGAAUGAAAACAAAGGACAUAUAUAUAUAUAUAUAUAUAUAUAUAUAUAGACAUACACAUGUUGAAUUCUAUUAUACUGACAAAAACAGUGAAGAAGUUGAGGGUUAGAAAAUCAAUCAUCCAUCAAUCUAGACAUGCAAUCGAAUCGAGUUAGAUGAGCAUCAAUCAUAUUCUCCCAAUAGCCAAAUCGUUUUGUUCUCUAAUUUAACGUACAUCCAUCUUAAUAUUUAUAGAAGUAUUUUCUUAAUAGAGUCCCAGAAAUAUUUUUCUAAUUAAAUAUUACAAGAACUAAUUGAGUGAUAAAAAAAAAAACACAAUAAUAAUUUAGAAGAAAAAUAAAGAAGCAUUAAAAGAUCAAAUUCAAAGAAGAAAAAACAAAAACAAAAAAGAAAAAAAAAAGUUUUGGUCACUUUAAGCAAUAAGAACUCUGGGCGAGUAGAUUUAUAAUAAUCAAACCCUAUACAUUCGAAAAAAGUUUCUUUUUUUUUUUUUUUUUGGAAAAGUCAAGUACAAACACAAAUCAGAUAAUAGUUUUUUUUUGGGAGAAGUAACGUGCACUAAUAGUCAUGAAAAAAAAAAGUUACCAAUCUAUAAUGUCAAACCUUCUCUAUUUAUUUUUUAAUAUAUUUAUUAUAAUCAAUAUUUAAUAUCACAAAUUAAUAUUUUAGGAGUUUUAUAUAUUUUAGAAAGUUUAGUAGAUAGGAAAAUAUUAAUUAAUUCUCCUACUAUAUGUUUUAGGAUUCCCAUAUAUUUUAGGAGUCUAGUAAAUAUAAUACUCUAGGAGUUUUGUCUAAAGAAAAAUCUUUUAACGAAGGGCAAAAAGUUCAAAUCACUUUUCUAAAGACCUUCACACUUUUAAUAUUAUAUAUAUAUAUAUAUAUAUAGAUUAUCUUCUCCUUCAAUGUAAUCAGGGGAAUAUUGACAGGAAAAGAUGAAUGCAAUAAAUUCUCAAAAUCAUUAUGAAUGUAGAAAAAAUUCUAUAAAAGCAAUGAUUCAAGGCGCAUUUCCCCCUGAAAGUGGAUUAAAUUAAAACACCAUUUAUGCAGCACAAAGGGAUAAAACUAUAAUUUUAUUUUAAAAAUCGACUAUAUGAAUUACUUUAAAUGAAAAAAGAGCAACACGAUACAUUAAAUAGUAGAACAGUACCUGUUAAUAAUUGGGUUCUCCGAUUCAACAUUCAACAGUUCUGAACUAAGCAAUGGCACUUUUUUUUGUUUCAAAAGAAUACGAUAAUAAUUUCAUCCAACUCAUUAAUUUGUCACCCAGACGAAAUUAACCUAAUAUGCUGCAGGCUUUUGAUUUUUAAAACUAGCUGCUUUUCAUCUCUCUCUAUAUAUAUAAAAGAAAGGAUGUGAUAGUAACGUUUUGUACCCCAUAAUUUGACUCGUAUCCGUCUAUUUUUUUGGUAACUAGGGAUAUAUAUGAAUAUAUAUAUAUAUAUAGGGAGAGAGAGAAUAUGAGCUCAGCCAUGAUGAUUGGUAAUGGUGGGGUAGUAUUAAAACAAUUUAGAGAGUCCAAUUCUAUGUCUCAUAUUUUAUGGAUCGAAAUAUUGUCAUGACUUAGCUAAGAAUAAGAUCAGUAGGGUGCACUGUGCAGCGCAGCUUUUUAUAUUUAUACUUAUUUGUUCUGUCCUGACUCCUGAACCAUAUUGCGCAUCUUUUGGGAGUGCUGAUUGAUUUGUUAUUAACCCCGUCAAUCUUUAUUUGUUCAUAUAUAUAUAUAUUUAAUAUUAUUUUUUUAUUUAAAAAUUAAUACUUGUGCUAAUUGUAUUCUUGCUAAUAAAUAUUAUAAUUCGAUAUAUUUUUUUUAAAAUAUUUAAUUUAUUAUAAUUAAAAGAUAAUAUAAAAAUAUUAUAUUUAUUAUUUAUUAUUUUUCAAGAUAUGUGUCAAGUUAAUAAUGAACAAGCAUUAUUAUGAUGUAGAAGUAGGAUGGUCUGAUGGUCAUGCACUAUUAUUCUAUUGUAAUUCGUAAAACUAAGAUUCUUCUAUUGAUAAAUCUUAAAAAGUUAGCUUAUUUUUUAUAACCGUGAUGUUCGAUCAAUUUGCUCAUACCUCAGUAAUUCAUAGAAUUACCUUCUACCUCCCACUCAUACAUAUAUAGAUGCAAUAUGGAGAUUUUAAAAAAAAAAAAAAUCAGAACAUUUUCUAUGUUUUAAUAUGUGACACACAAUAAUCAACUGUAACAUGCUACAGAAAUUGACCUUCUUGCUGGAGAAAAUAACUGCUAUAAAAUUAUAAUUCCCAAAUUAAAUAAUAAACACAAUUAUUAGUGGAUAUUUUUUUUAGCAAAUGUUUAAUUCAAUGAAUAUUUACACAAUUAGAUCAUUAAUAAAAAAGGCAAAAUACAUACAGGUAAAUAUCUACGAUGGCAUAAUCAGCAACCUCAAGAAAAUGGUAGGAAACAGACAUGGUUUUUACAACUCUGGGGUCGGGUAUACCUUGCACGCACCUCGACUAACUCUGAAAAUUAAACCUGAGACCUCAUGAUGUUUUACUUAUGUCAUUAACCACUAGAUCACGCCCUUAGGUGUAGUAAUAACUGAUAUUUUAUAACAAGAUAAACUAGAGAGAGUGUGUAAUAGAUCACACAUUGGAAGUAUAUACAACUUUGAUAAAAAGAGAACAAGUAAAUAGGAAGUUGAUAAAAGAGCACAUUAUCAGUUGAAGGUGCUGCACUUUGCAAUACCUUUUGUCUACUGAACAGAAAUAAAUAGUACAAUUUUGGUAUUGAAGCAUCAGACAGUUCUGAUGCAUAACUUUGAAACAAAAGAAAAGCAUCCCAACCCCUUGAGUCUUACUCAUACAGACCUACCUAAUGCAUUAGUUAAUGAUGCAAUAAUUUCUCAGGACUUCGAAUUUCAGAUAUAUUAUACAAGGCAAAGUUUAUCUAAGUGGAAAUAAUUACAGGGAAUUCCAUCUCCUCCUGAAGUACUGUUACAAAAUUUUCUUAUUACGCAAGAAUGAGGAAUAAAUAUUGUCGGAAAAUCAAACUUGGAAUCUUCUCCGAGUGGGUUUCUUGCUCAGGAACAUAAUUUUCCAGCUUUUGUACACAUUAGACUUGAGGAAAAUCAGAACCUUCACACUUAAUAAGUUAAACUGGUUCGUUACUCAGUAUAUAUCAUCAUUUCAUAAGAUUUGCUCACCAUACAGGUUGAUUAAGCAGGAGUGGCAGCAUCAAGUAUAAAAGAGGCUUCCAAGAACCGUCAAGGCCAAGAGACGCAGAUGAGACCCGAUGCUUAAGCUGUUCAGACCUGACAAAUUAACAGAAUGUAUCAAUGAAAAGUACAUCAACCUUUAACAAAAGAUAAAUUAUCACGUUUUUGCAAAAUUUAAGAUGGCAUUUGAAGUCUUAUUUGUCUGAUAAAACCGCUUCUCUUAUCCCCCAAAGCAAUUCAUGAUGGAAGGAUUGGCCAAGACCAUAAAAAGACACAACUCAUUCCCUCAACCGAUUUAGGAUCUAACACUCUCCAACAUGAUCAGGACUCAAGUAGAGCAUGGAUUACAGAGCCCCAACAUUGAGAAACACAACAAUAAGGAACGAUGGGUUCGGCUCUCAUACCAUGUCAAGAUAUGGUCAUUGACCUAGCUUAACCCCAAAGCUAGCUCAUGAUAAAAAGAUUGUCAAAACCAUAUAACGAGACCACAACUCAUUCUGCAACCAGUGAGGGACUUAAAUAAUGAUAAAUGUUUCUAUCAAGAAAUAUGAUCUGAAAUUGAAAACGAUUUUAGCUUCCAAAUUUAUUUUUUACCCCUCAUGUUCAAACCUGGAGAAGUUUAAACUUAUUACAAAUAUAGGCACAAAGAGAGACCAGCAUAGCUAUGAAACUGUAAGUGUGAAAGGUAGAUAGUCUUACUGAUCUGGCCAGAUGCUGCCGCAGGAAGUGCAGGAAUUUUCACAGCUGCAAUAACAUAAAGUCAUAAUAACGAUCAGCAUUUGGUUAUGUAAGAAGAUAAACUUUGGUCACUGGACAUACUACGGAAGCAAGAGAUCAGACAUACUUUUAUUACAUGACGAAACUGGUAACUGAGAGAGAGAUGGCCAAGGGGCUGGAAUGUUAUCAUUUAAAUCACAGACAAAGCUGAUCCCAGAGAUUUGGUCAAGUACAGCAUCUGAUGGAAGACUGGGCAAAAGACAUCCAGAAACUACUCCCACAAGAAGAGCCAAAAAAAAUAAUUAAUUAAAACUAUCACAAAGAAAGUGACAUAGGUAAAAUACUACAUAUAUAUAACACACAAGGAACCUCAUCCAGAGGAGGCAAAUUAACAUGAAGUAGCUUGACGGUUUUUAGCAUGUAGUACUUUGACCAAAAAAAUGUUUUCCAACACAAAAUGUAGAUUUCUUAUCUCAGGCAUAAAACGACAGUAUUGUAAUUUCCAAACCUUACAAAGGCAGUCACAGUGGAGUAAUCUAGGCUUAAAAGUUGCCUUCUAUGACCAAUACAUUACAACAACAACAACAAAAAACCCAGUGUAUUCCCACAAAGUGGGGUCUCUGGGAAGGGAAAAAUGUACGCAGUCCAUACCGCUACCUCCGAAAAAGUAGAGAUGUUGUUUCCGAUUAAUUAAAUAUAUUGAUGUUUAAUAAUACAUCCAAUGCAAUAUUAACUAAAGAUAUACUUUUAAUCCAUGGUCACGUAAUUGAGUAUCUUAACCAACUUCUUUCCACGUCCAAAAUUGAAUUUCUGAUACUUCAACAAAAGUCACUUAGAGGAGAAAGAGAGAAGGUGGAACAGAUGCUUCGAAAAAUGCUAGUGAUAAAGGACAGACACAAACAUAGGGCAUGUAUAUGAAUUAAAAAAUACGCAAGUAGGUAAAUUACCUUCGGGUGCGACUAUUGCAGUCAUUUGAAGAAAACCAGACAGGAUGGAUAUGACAAAAUAGAAAUUCCAAGUUAGUUUGGUAGAUUUGCAGGAAGCAAAAUGAUUAAAAAGCUGCACUAAAAUAAUAACUUACCUUGCACAGAAAAGUCUUUGAGGGUAAUGUGACAAAGAUUGUAUAUAUUUUUGCUCACAUUGGCUUUCUGUAACUUGACUCCAAGUGAAGCAGCGCAAUCCAAAGCUUGCAAAUUGGUAACAAAACUCUGCCUUUGUAAGUGAGACACAUAGCUCUCAAUGGUAUUACAGCAUGCUGUUUGGUUGUUCGUCCCAUGUCCACAAGCCUUUGCAACAUGGCUCGCAUUAGGGAAUACCAGAGGGCACACUGAAGGGGAGGAAAACAGAUUGCUAAUUUCAUAACUAUAUUAUACCCAAGAUAGAAAAUGAAACCCCACCCCCACCCCAAAAAAAAAAAGUAAUAAUAAUAAUAUAAGAGAUUCUAGUUCCUUCAGCAAGCAUGAGUGCAUAAAACUUUUGGUAAGAUGAGUAGCUAAAACAAGUGAUCUCAAGGAUAAUCAUAUAAGUACAAAUAUGCUUGGGUGGGCUGACACUUGACGGACAGGAAAAUAUUAACUAAACGAAUAGGUACUUGUCCAAACUGGUUUUGGAUUAAAAUAAAAUAGCUUAAGAACUAACUUAGAAACUAUUCCAAGUAAGAAAUGACAGGAAAGAAAAGAUCUGCCUUACUUCUCCAUUUUUUCCCCUUCAAACAGCAUGAAGGGCAAUGAACUUUUGACUAGGAAGUACACAAUCAGCGGCCUUCUCUCUCUCUCUCUCCCUCCCUCCUAGAGCCCGAAAUGGACUAUUCACCAUUAAUUACGAAAGAAAAUUAAUGAUAAAAGAAUCUAGUCAUUAAUAGGAAAGCGUAAAGCCAUUGAUUUAUGACUACCAAUUCUAGACUACAUAGUAUAGACAUCCUAGAAGGUUAGUUUCCUAGAAAAAACUCCCAACUAAAUUGAUAAAAACAGAUGUCCACCAUAGUCCCUUUUUAAAACAAUGUCCAAUCAAGCAAUCAACUUUACCUCAACCCAGUAGACGUGAGUACGUGACUACUUAAUUAUGUUUUCGAUACACCACCUCACGUGCGGCCCGAAUUUUUUUCAUGGUCCAAGCACGUGGAAAUUCUUUUUUCAAUAAUGGGAUGAUGAGACUCAAACCAAGGAACUCUGUCUGCUCUAGUACUUCGAUACUAGGUUGAAGUGUGUGAUCAUCAGUUCAUCACAACUAAAAGUUUAAGCUAUUCAAGGAGACACCCUUUUUUUAACUUAAAUUAUCUCUACCACACACGAGCCUAUUCCCCUGUUAGCACAUUUAAGCGUCAUAAGGUCACUAGAAAAUAGAUAAACCAUCUGAAGAUACCUUCUCCUCGUUAUAUCCUCUAUGUGAGCUACUUGAACUGUCUUUUAGACAUAAUCAUUACUUAGACAUUAUCAUUACUAAUCUUACCCUAUCUUGUGUAAUAGCUAAUUCAUUCUUGUGAAUUUUUGGACCUUAGGAAGAACAUUUACUUGCAUACUACCAUCUCCUAUUUUAAGAAUAAGAAAAUUUAAGUAUCUCUCUUUACAUUGGCAUUCAAACUUAAAAUUUGUUGUCCAUAUACAAACGCAAGUACAUGCUUUCUCACAUGGUCUUUUAACAUCAUCAAGUCAAACCUUACGAAUAUAUAUAAUGAACAAUGAAUAAGCACUGAGCAUAAUA
rnacentral:lncRNA from 1 species